AAAGAUACCGAUGAUGAUGGCAAUAGAAUUAACAGACUUUGACAAUGAAUUACUUUUAGAAUUUCAAGAUACUGAAAAAUGGGGCCAAGUUUGGAGUCUUGUUUGCACAGCUGCUCCAGAUGAUAGUGCCAGUACAGCUGUAAUUCUUUUAUCAUUGCCAACUUCCCCGCAUGUUUCUCUAAGCAUCCUUCCAUCGAAAAUAGCUCUUCGUGGGAUGGAAAAAAAAGCAGUGAGAGCAUUUCGAGAUUGUGAAAUCUCUCAAGUACGUUCCAGAUUGGAAAACAAGCUGAGUCAUCUGCAGCAAUCUCUAGUUGUCUAAGACUGCCAAAAAGGUGUUGUGGGAAAUCGGCCUGCAAAAUCAUCUUCACAUCUUUUCCACUUAGUGAUAGUUCCUUCAAGUUGGGUACGAUCUGAUCAUCAUUAAUCAUAAUAACUAAUGAGGUCAAUUGAUGAUCUACGGUAACACGCAGUGACUUUAUAGUAUUUGUUUUAUAUUAUAUGUUAAAAAAAAUUGAAUUAUUGAUAAAAUUUAUUUUAUAUGUUAAUUUUAGAGGUAAAAAAGAAAUUAGGGAAAAAAGGUUGAUUUAUACUGGCUNNNNNNNNNNNNNNNNNNNNNNNNNNNNNNNNNNNNNNNNNNNNNNNNNNNNNNNNNNNNNNNNNNNNNNNNNNNNNNNNNNNNNNNNNNNNNNNNNNNNNNNNNNNNNNNNNNNNNNNNNNNNNNNNNNNNNNNNNNNNNNNNNNNNNNNNNNNNNNNNNNNNNNNNNNNNNNNNNNNNNNNNNNNNNNNNNNNNNNNNNNNNNNNNNNNNNNNNNNNNNNNNNNNNNNNNNNNNNNNNNNNNNNNNNNNNNNNNNNNNNNNNNNNNNNNNNNNNNNNNNNNNNNNNNNNNNNNNNNNNNNNNNNNNNNNNNNNNNNNNNNNNNNNNNNNNNNNNNNNNNNNNNNNNNNNNNNNNNNNNNNNNNNNNNNNNNNNNNNNNNNNNNNNNNNNNNNNNNNNNNNNNNNNNNNNNNNNNNNNNNNNNNNNNNNNNNNNNNNNNNNNNNNNNNNNNNNNNNNNNNNNNNNNNNNNNNNNNNNNNNNNNNNNNNNNNNNNNNNNNNNNNNNNNNNNNNNNNNNNNNNNNNNNNNNNNNNNNNNNNNNNNNNNNNNNNNNNNNNNNNNNNNNNNNNNNNNNNNNNNNNNNNNNNNNNNNNNNNNNNNNNNNNNNNNNNNNNNNNNNNNNNNNNNNNNNNNNNNNNNNNNNNNNNNNNNNNNNNNNNNNNNNNNNNNNNNNNNNNNNNNNNNNNNNNNNNNNNNNNNNNNNNNNNNNNNNNNNNNNNNNNNNNNNNNNNNNNNNNNNNNNNNNNNNNNNNNNNNNNNNNNNNNNNNNNNNNNNNNNNNNNNNNNNNNNNNNNNNNNNNNNNNNNNNNNNNNNNNNNNNNNNNNNNNNNNNNNNNNNNNNNNNNNNNNNNNNNNNNNNNNNNNNNNNNNNNNNNNNNNNNNNNNNNNNNNNNNNNNNNNNNNNNNNNNNNNNNNNNNNNNNNNNNNNNNNNNNNNNNNNNNNNNNNNNNNNNNNNNNNNNNNNNNNNNNNNNNNNNNNNNNNNNNNNNNNNNNNNNNNNNNNNNNNNNNNNNNNNNNNNNNNNNNNNNNNNNNNNNNNNNNNNNNNNNNNNNNNNNNNNNNNNNNNNNNNNNNNNNNNNNNNNNNNNNNNNNNNNNNNNNNNNNNNNNNNNNNNNNNNNNNNNNNNNNNNNNNNNNNNNNNNNNNNNNNNNNNNNNNNNNNNNNNNNNNNNNNAUAUAUAUAUAAAGAAAAUGUUAGCCUACGCACCUUCUCGUUGAAAAGCAGAGUUGAAAUGUCCAAAGUGAUUUCGCUGGAGCAAUACAUAGUCGUCGAUUCCUCUUGUGACACUUGUCUGUUCGGUGAUGCAGAAGGAGUCUCCACCUCACGGCGGCAAAAACUUGUAACCUCUGGAAGAUUUCCCACACUCAAAGAUCUUAAUUGAGCAAACUCUAUCUUCUCAAUUGCAUUAUCAACUUCUUCCCCAAUUGCAAAAAUCUCUUUCAUCUUGCUGCAAUUAAUAACUGCAAUUCUCUCAAGUCUUGGAAGGCAUUUUGUAGUAGAGAGCCAAAAGAUAUUACUCAACUUAUCACAAUUAUAUACUUCUAUGUUUUUGAGUUCGUUGAAAGACUCUACUUUGAGCCGAUCAACACAUAUCCUCUCCAUGUUGAUCAAAUUGUGAAGGAUAAGUGACUCCAAAAGAGGAAAGGCAUCACAAGCGACCAUCUCCCUUGAAUCGACGAUGCAAAAGAAGUCUGGAUUAUUUUGAACCCAGAGAAUCUUCAAUUGUGAAAAGCCCUCCGUGUCCAAAUUGAAAAGAACAUUCUCGAUGCCUUGCAGCUUGUCCAACCAUAAGCAUUCAACGUUAUUGAUGCCCUGCAAUUUCAUGGAGCAAAUGUCCAUAAAAUCAAGCUUGAGCUUCAAUGCUCUUGAAAUCUUACGAUCUCUGUCGAUCAAAAAGUGCUGCCGACUUUUAAACCAAUUUUGUCCAGCAAUCAUGGGAUGUGUGAAUAACCCAUUUCCAAUAUGUAUUUGGAACCUUUCGAGCUUUCUGGCCAAAAAGCCUUCUGGUAAAAUACUAUCAUUUUUAACAUCAAUUUCUAGAGUGGUUAGCCGAGGUAAAUGCAUCAAUUCAUCAAGGCUAGCAUUACUUCUUUUGCUGUUGGCUCUUUCAACCUCCCAUUCAAUGGAGCAAUUACCCAUAUACAAUUCUUCUAAUCGGAUUAAGCUUGAUAUGACAUUUGGGGCAAUAACUUUCAGACGGAAACAGUCUGUUAAAUCUAACAGCCUUAGCUUAGUCAGUUGACCCAGUGCUUUAGGCAACUCUACAAUAUCAGAUUCCAAAAAGCUGAGGAUUUCUAGAUUUUCCAACUUUCCAAUAAUGGCUAUGUCUAUGCCUCCCAAAAUGCUUUGAUUAAGACAGAGUGCCUGAAGAUUUACUAGAAGACCAAUUGAAGAUGGCAAUGACAAUAACCGCAUUCUUGUCAAAUCCAAAACCCGAAGCUUUUUCGUCCUUUUGAAGAAGUUCUCAGGAAUAUUAGGCACAGCAAAAGAGUUCUUGGGAGACAUGAGUAGAAGUUCAAGUUGUAGAGAUUCGGACCCAUCAGGAAUGUCAUUAAUAAUACUAUCUUUUAAAGAAAUUGCAAGAUAUUUUUUUAAUUCAUCUGCAUUUGGCCAUUUCCAAUCAUCCUCAUUUCUCACCACAAAUCCAAUUUUGUCACGACAUGCAAUUGAAAUGGCAACAUCGCGAACAACAUCAUGCAUGGAAAAUAAUUUACUGCUACCAUCCUUAAGCAACAAACAAGAGUCUCUUAGUUGAUUGACCCAUGCAUCUAAUUUGUUAUGUGCAUCUUCUAGCUUAUGGACACUUUUAAAUACACCCAAGCCCAUGCUAUAUUUGAACAAGUCCAUAAUUGGUGCUGGCGUAAUAAGACUACACAGUAAAAAAGUUUUCUUGAGUUGCUCACCUCUUAAGUACUUGUAACUCAGCUCAAUUGUUGAGUAUGCCUCUGCUGGUACUCCUUCGUCGAAGCUUGCCUCUGAAGGCGUUUGGAGUUCUUGCAAGGCAUUCUUCCACACAGGCAGCUCUUUUUUUCUCAGUGCCUUUGCUACUGUGGUUAGGGCAAUAGGCAAACCUCCGCAUGCCUUGGCUACACUUGUUGCUGUAGAUUCUAAUUCACGAUUUUCCACAUAAUCACCUGCCAUUAUCUUGAACAAUCUCCAGGCUUCUUGUUUAUUUAAAAUGCCAAUCAAGAAGUUUUUUUCAGAUCCCAUCCUUAACAGCACAUCAAGAUCUCUUGUUGUGAAUAAUAAUUUACAUCCUCUGUGCUCAACUCCAAAAGGAAUGCCAAUAGUCCCCAAAUCAAGAGGUUUCCAGAUGUUAUCGAGAAUCACAAGGAUCUUCUUCUCAUUCUUCAAUCUUUCAUAUAGUCUACUAGCUCUUCUAGACUCAGCUUCCUCGGACAACUCUAGGCCUAACGUUUCCGCAAUUUCCUCUUGGAUCUUUCUUAUGUCUGGACAUUGGGUAACCUCCGAAAAAACCACCAUAUCGUAAAGCUUGUCUUCAAUGGCUCGCCUUGCAAACUCCUUCACCAGUGUCGUCUUUCCAAUGCCGCCCAUGCCGUAGACCCCAAUGAUGCUGACAUCAACAUCGAUCAAUGCAUUUUGUAUGGCCUUCAAAGUAGAAAGUCUUGAAUCGAAGGCUUCGUAGCCUUUGUGAGACUUGAGCCAUAUAUCCUCCGGAAUGGUACGGUAGGAAAUUCCAUCAACAAAUCUCCCAGCUUCUUCUCGGAGUUUAACAAUGGCCUUCACCUUUGUUUCUGCUUUCUUGCUAAGCUGAUAGCGGGUCUUCAAAUUAGGACACAAGCCCAUGAGACAUCGUUUAUUUGUUGUCUUCUCAUCAUCAAUGAAUUUGGCUGCCUGCUCAAUGAUGAUGUUCGCACUAACCAGCCACUUCUCAACCUUCUCUUCAAUAUUUUCCCCUUUUCUUUCAGCCUCAGAAACCUGGAAGCGGAGAAAUGAAAGAAAGAGUAAAAGCUGUUAUGGAUCUGGUGAGAAGAUGGAAACAAGGAAAAAAUUUCUAGUUCGAGAACUGAUUGAAUUAAUAUAAGGAAUGAUUUAGAUAAUAGAGGCGAAGGGAACCAAUCAGAAUAACUGAAGUAUUGACCAGCAGAAAGACGGAAAAAAUAUUGACUGGUAAUAGAGAUGGAAAAAAUGAAGAUAUCUUGACACGGUAGAAGUACAAAGGGUAGAUAUGGAACCAAACAGAGACAACAGCAGACCACAACAAGAUUGGGAAUGGACAGAAACUAAUUAACAAAGACUGGAGAUUACAACAAAACAGAUGCCAAGAGAAAACUUGAUCCAGUGAAAUUCAAGAGAGCUGACAACAAAAACUGAUACUACUUGAUUGGGAAUUGAAGGCAAAGAGUAGGAGCUGAUGAAUACGGGGAUCAAGAGGGAAAAACUGCUUGCUCGUAAAACUACUUUCAAGCGAAUCUGAUAAAAUUAUUUCAGUACUCGUGGGCGACUCCUUUUUAAACUGCAGAAGGAGAAAAAAGAAAUGUUCUGAAUUUCAAUGUAUUAAUUUUUAUCCUAAUUUAUGUUGAGACUCGUAAUCUCGUCUCAAUGAUUAAUUAGUAGAUAAUCUUUCUAACAAGUAUGUGAUGAAUAGAUAUAUUUCUUGACUAUUAGUAGGUUAGAUAUAUUUUAGCAUAGGAAUGAAAGUACAAGUUGUGUCAUAUUAGAAUACAAAUUUGACCUAAAAAUAUUGUUCUAUGACCUUUUAAUUAUUUGUCAGCUAAUAAUUAAGUCAUAUAAAAAAAAUAAUAAUCUGAAUUAGUCUUUAAGUAUUAUAAAUAUUUCUUGAUUUUUAAUUAUAAUAUCAUUAUUUAAAAAUAAUUGCUUGACUUACAUAGUAAGUCAAUAAAAUAUCUAACAAUAGUGGUCAUAAAACAUGUGAUCCUCAAUCAAUGAAAUAUCUAACAAUAUCAUCACCUAAAGUUUGAGAUAUGUUAUCCUUAUUCCACUGCGUCAAUUACACUCCAGUCAAAUGCUGCCAUCAUUAUUGAACAGUCGACAUCCACCAGUUCUAAUUGCCAAAACUUAGAACUAAACAGUAGCUCGGUCAGAAAAUCAAACGCCAGUACCGGUCAAAUGACCGAUAAAAAUAUAAAGAAAUAAAAAUUUUAAAGUUUUACUUCAUUGCUUUUUUAAUCUUAUUACUAUUUCGGGUAAUUUUUACUUUCCUCCCCUCAGCUUUGGACUUUUUGCACUUAGAUGGUCAAGAUACAUUUAUCAGUAAAGACCUCCCUACCGUCAGUUAAUUUUGUAGUUGACUGUUAGUUGAAUUCAAAAAGACUGAAAUACCCCCAAUUGGAUUUUCAAGACUGAACAUGCUAUACAUUUGGCGCGAAAACUAUAACAACCAUAAUAUUACCAUUAUACCCCUUCAAAUUGGGUUAUUUACAAUUGCAUUCAACAAAUAAAAUGAUAAUUCUAUUUGGGUAAUUUUCACUGUUGCAAUUUGACCGUUGGAUCCGAAUGGUCACAUUGCCACAGAUUUGCCUAUUUAAAGGCUUAAAUACAGAGCUUUGUUCACAAGCAUCUCUACCUCUUCUUAACACUUUGCAAACUCAACUACAUUUCUCUCAAUCUUUCAAUCUCAACAACAUGGAUUCAGAGGGCUCAAGUGCAGUAACUAACAAGAAGAAUAGAUAUAAUAAAGGCAGUAUGAAAUGGAGGAGUCAAGUUAAUGGAAAUCUGAUCAAGUUUAGGAACUUGAAAUGCGAUUGCAGAGUACGUGCUGCUGUUCGAAUUUCAGAGACUGAAGAUAAUCCAAACAAGCUAUUCUACAACUGUCCUUAUGAUGCCUGUGACUUUUUCCAGUGGUGUUGUCCAGAACCAAGUGAUUUCGACAAUGGUGCAUUCUUUGAAGGUCAUAGAAGUUUUACAGUAGCACAACAACAAGUGCAGGUAGAACUUGAAGAAAUACUAAGUGCCCUGAAUGAAGUGAAGAUUAUACUGAAAAAAACUUAUCAAACUCAAAAUGUUUGUGACCAAGACUUAAGUGAUGUGCAUAAACUCACUUCAAAGAAAACCGAACAAGGUGGGGUGAUAUGUGGGCUGCUGAAGGCUGUGCUCUGUUUGAAUGCCUUUUUUUUUUACUGAGUGUUCUUGUGGUUAUUUUCCUGAAGUGAUUAACCUAAAUUACUAGCAUGAAUUUUGUAAUAAGUUGUACUCUAACUACUGGAAUGAGUAAUGAUAAGAUGAAAAUUUAAUGAACUUGUAAUGCUCUAUUUUUAGAAUGCUUAUCUUUGCUAACUAAGUGUAUAUAAUGUGAAGUAUCCUGUUUGAUUUGAGCAUAUGGCCUAGUCUUCAAUACUGCAUUUCCUAUGUAAUAACUUAACAUAAGCAUUCUGUACAUAUAGCUAAAAAUUAAAGGGAUUACAAUACUUUAGUUAUAAUAAUAUCUAUUAACAGUAGCAAAAUUAACUUGUGAGUUAAACUUUAACAGCAACAAGCAAACCAAUCCAGAACGAGUGAGAAGAGAAUCUAUUAAUUGCAUUCCAGCAUUAAAAUUCUUAAGCAGUAUCAUACAUAGUUACAUUCAAGCAGCUGUCACAAAGCAUGAAGCAGUUGAAUAUAAAUAGCUUCUGGUAAACUCAUGUAUAAUUUCCAGGUAUUAACCAAGCAAGCUUAUCAUAUUACUUGUCUUUGGCAUCACAAUAAUAUCAUGUACAAAAAACAAACUAACAAAAGGCUCAAACCUAUAGUCAGUCUGAGUAAAAGAUGAUACACCAGCUCCAUUCUUCUGCCCAUGACAAGAUGUUGUAUCAUCUGAUCCCUUCAAAAAAUUAGUUAGUGGGAAUAGUCUUGAUCUGCUUCUCAUGCUGGAUGCUAUCACUUUAAUGGUUUCAUUCUUGAGUAACAUGUCCUGGCAUGAAUAAAACAAACACUUACAUAUGAAAAUUAAAAAAAAUAGAUGUUGAUUACUAAAAUUAUUUAAAGAAUCGUGAAUAAAACUCACCAUUGUCAUGGACAGUAGGCUGAGAUAGUGCACUGCAAGCAACCCUUUGAGUUAUAGGCUGAUUAGAAUUAGAAGUGCCUUCACCAUUCACAACCUAUGCCACACCCAUUACAUCAUAAGCAAUUAAAUUAAUUAAAUUUAACUACUAAAUGAAAGAGAGAUGAUAAUUAACCUGUUUGCUAGAUACUUUAGUUCUUUUGCAGGUUCUCUUGUUAUGACCCCAAUGCUCACACUUAGAACAUUUGACACUUGAACUCCUCUUGAAUGUAGCUGGUUCAUCAGCUUCUUUCCUCCUCUUGAUCUGUGGCCGGCCAACAGACUUGAUAAUUAUAGGUGGCUGCAAAUUAUCAUGUAGAACCAGUGGCCACAUCUUCUCAUCAGGUAAAGGAAAGUAUUGAUACUUGUAGGUGUUGAUAAAAGCUGGACAUUUCAGAUAAUUAUGGAUAUAAUCUUCAAUGUUGAGCCUUUUUGCAUCAAUGGAACAAACACUAUGCUUACAAGGUAAGCCGGAUAUCUGCCAUUCCCUACAAUUACAAGUUUUUUUACCUAAAUCUACUACGAAUACUUUACAGAGAUCUUCCAUCACUUCGAAGGUGUUUUCAUGACCAAAUAUUACUGUUAAACCUCUCGCUGCAGCUCUUGCUUCCACAAUCUUUCUCCUAACAAGAGGUGGUAGAUGUCCAUUCCAUUUCUUUGCAUCCUCAUUCCUUUUAUGAAUAAGUUUCAUGAUCUUUCUCCUUAUCUCUUCGAGCAUCCUAACAAUAGGCAUGCCUCUAAAACUGUUAAUCCAGUUAUUGAACGAUUCAGUCAUGUUAUUGGUCACAUGAUUGCACUUGGUGUGGUUAGGAAAAGUGUGUUUAGCCCAAUAUACAGUUGGAAUGUUCAUGAGCCACCGGUGAGCUGCAUCGCUGAUUUUCUUCAAUUCCUCAAUGCUUUCACUGAAUUCUGAGUAGUUUGGACUUCUACAUGCCUUCCAAAAGACCUUUUUCAACAAAGUGCCAGGAAACUUUUGCUUGAAAUUGGCAUAAAUAUGCCUACAGCAGUAUCUUUUGAUUGCAUUAGGAAACACUCUAUCAAUUGCAUUGAUCACUCCUUUUUGUCGAUCACUCAUGAAACAUAGGCCUUCUCCACCAUUACAACCAAUCUGGUCAUAUAGCUUUUCCAUGAAAAACUCCCAAGAGUAAGUGUUUUCACUCUCUACUACACAUAAGGCUAGUGGAUAUAUACCAUAAUUAGCAUCAAUCCCAACUACAGUCAAUAAAACUCCUUUAUAUGGCCCUUUUAGAUGGCAGCCAUCAACCCCUACAAACUGUCUACAGCCUUCAAAAAAACCUCUCCUACUUGCAUCAAGCAUCAUGAAAAAUCUUUUAAAUACUGGGUGAGCUGUAUCUCCAUUCAAUUCCCUCUCAAUAGCUACUGUGGAUCCAGGGUUAUACUUUAUCAAAGCUUGUUGGUAUCUACUCAGUUUGCUGUAACUUUUCUUGUGAUCUUGGCCAAGUAAUUCAAGUGCUUUUUGUUUUGCUCUGUAUAACCUAUGCACACUGCACUCAAUGCCAUACUUUUUCAAAAGCUCAGCUGCUAUUAACUUGACACUGACUUCGGGAGUUGACUUGAAGAUAUGAAGAUAAGUGGCUGCAAUCCAGGUUGAAGUAGCUUCUCCGUUAUCAUCAUCAAUCCCACCACAUGUAUGAACAUCACAUAGGGUCUUAAUUUGAAAUCAUAACUGGCUAGCUAGUUCUUGCCUGCCUUGCUGCCAUUACCCAGGCCAUUACAUUGCAUAGCAUAAGGAAUAGUGAUUAGGUGCUUAUUAGUGAUUCGUUGAGCUUAUUAUUGACCAAACAAACAUAUUCGCCUUUACCCACAACUUAGUUUGAUUAGUUAUUAGACCAUAAAGAGCGUUAAUCUGUUCAUUGGCUUUGUUAUUUUUAUUUGGUUUUUCUUCCGACAAUACGGUUGAUUUCUUAUAAAAAUAUUCAUUGGUUUUUAAACACCUAAUCAUUGGCUAUAAUGAAGCUAAUUGAAACUGAGGCUUAUCAAUUUCUUCCUGCAAGAUACAAUUGAGCAUAAACUAUAUCCUCAGUAAAUUUUUCUAAUAUCCUUGAUUUGUUAGGAUAUGGGCCUGAAAUCCUCUAGAUUUUUUUAACACUGUCAAUGUUCUUUUUACUCUGAAAAGGGAAAAAAAAGGUUAUAUCUUUCAUACCCUAAUAGUAAGUUGGCCUUGACUUAACAUGCCUUCCCGAGAUUUGCAAGAUUCACAAGCAGCUCACACCCCCCCCCAACCAAAAAAAAAAAAAGAAAAAUAAAUAGGAAGAUUUUUGCGAGAUUCACUGCUGUACGGCCAAGGCGGAUGUACGGUACAGCAGUCAUAUCUCACACAAGCAGCAAUUUCCUCAUCAGACGAAUCAAAUUCAUCACCAGUCUCAUCACCUGACUGAUAAUCAUCAAGAACAUAGUCACUUUCUUCACCAUCUGAUCUUGCAUUCUCUUCAUCACUUUCUUCACCAUCUGAUUUAGAAGUAUAAAUUGUGUCAGUUGAACCUUUGCCAUUUUUCCCAGAAUUCUCAGAGCUAAAGUGUACUGUCAUAUCAUCUUCGAGUAAAUAACCACUCCGAAUACUGAAUUGCGUCAUAUUAUUCUCAUUGUUAAUUUCUUCAACAUCAUCUAGUUCAUUCCAAUUAAUUUCAGGAUCGACAUUGAGGUUGACAGAAAACUGAUUUUCAGGAGUUAUCUCAGUCACCUUGCCAUCAACUACUGCUUCAACAUCAUAAUGCACAACACUGUAAUGCAAUAAAACAACAUAAAUAAAUGCUAUUAAUGUUAAAGAAAAAGUUAAAAUUUAGUAAAUAGAAAAUGCAAAGUGUAGUUGACUAGUAGUAGCACACAAAUGCAGCAUAUCAUCUAUUUCAAGCUUAUUAAAACCCACUUUAAAAAUUACAUCAUGAAUAUUACCAUAUGCUUGCAAAUGCAUAAUCAACCGUAACAUAAGCUAAAACCAUAUGCUUGCAAAAUACCCAAAAUGGUGUUGGAAAAUUUAUUCUCGAUUUUAUGUUUCACAGUUCCAUAAACAUUAUCAAAGAUGUGUCAAUGAACAAAUAAUGAAGCAUAAACUUGACAUUUACAAACAACUCACCAUAAUAUCAAUACGCUCUAAAUGGAGCAAAAAAAAAAAAAGCUUGAUUCAAAACUAACCUAUAAUUAAUUUCAACAUACCGAUUCAAAUCUUUCGAGCAUCGGUGAAAUUCAGAGCGGGACAUGAUGCAGAUUUAGUGUUUCUUCUUCACUUCACCCAAAUAAUAGAUACUGCUUUGCUAGAAAUUAAAAAAAAAAUUUCCUUCUCAACAGAGCUUUCGUCGUCUGAGCUUCAUGAAACUCAGCUUCAUGAAAGAGAAACGUGCAGUUUCAGAGAAAAGAGAAAAAGUUUUAAGCUUUGAUUCUUUUACAGUUUUUUAUUUAUAUCAAUUAUCACAAGGCACGAUUUUUUUCACAAUGAUUUGACAAUUCACUGGGCUCAUGUCAACUAAAAUGUGUAAAAGUUAGCUUGUCAAAUUAAAUUACUAAAUUGCCCAUAACUAACCAUAUGAGAUUUACCGUUUGCAUUCCGUAAGGGGGUUUUUACUAAUAAAUGAAUCUUGGCCAUCUAAGUGCAAAAGACCCAAAGCUCAAGGGAGGAAAGUAAAAAUUACCCUUACUAUUUCUCGUUGCACUUAUAAAGAAACCAAAGCUUUAAGAGAAAUCGGCCAAAUCAUGAAGAUUGAAGAGUAAAUCUAUGGUUUUAUAUUUAUAUUUUUAUUUUUAGAUAAUAGAUAUUAUUUUGAUGAAUUUUUAAUAUUAGAAUAAUGUUAGGAAUUUCGAUAGUAGAAUUCUAACUUGAGACCCAAUUGUUAUGUGUCAUUUUUUUAUUAGAUAAUAAAUUUCAUAAUUAGUAAAAUUAAUAUUUCAAUCAUCUAAUAAAUGACUAUCAUAUCAGUUGAGACUUAAUUAUUGGGAUCCUUAACAUUGCUCUUAGUAUUAAAUUGGACAUCUUAGCUAAAUCAGAUUAAAAAUCAAAUUAGAUUUUUGGCUUUUAUCCAACAUUUGUUUUUUGGUCUCUUUGUAGUGAACGAAAUAAAAAUACAACAGGUUCAACGACUGGGCAAUUGAUAGUCAAGUAGAAGCAAAUCAAGGCUAAAUGGGAAAGAAAAAUGAUAUGUGUACAAAACAAGGAGAAAAUCCGUGUAACUGAAGAGAAUCAAAGUGCUUUUGAGAUUAGAAAUUGAAGCAAGAAAAGGGUCGCUUGAUCCAUUGAAAAUGCUAAGAGCCAAUGGCAAAAGAGAACAAUGUUAAAUAAGAAAACAGCUAGCGCUAGCAGCGACCACAAUAGACAGAAAAGUUGAGAUGGAUUUACAAUAUUUCUGCCUUUCUUCAUGCUUUAACAAAUAUUGCUCUAUAAAAAAAAAUAUUGAGCGUUUUUAUUAUUGGAGUCACAAAAGACCUACACAAUAUAGCAAGUGCUAGGAAUAAAUAAGAAUAUAUAACUCUCUCUCUAAUUCUCACUCUAGCUUUUAAUUGUCAUUCAAAACCCAAAAUUCAUCCUUAAAGUGUAAGCAAAUCAGAGAUGACAACGUCUGGUUGUCAUACGUGCCUUUUAGUUUUCGGAUGACAUGGCGUACACUUCUUCUGUAAACCGAACAUGACAUGUCGUACUCUUUGUUUUGAGAUCAUAUUUCAAACUCUUCAUGCUAUGAAUGAAAGAUAAACUACAAUCAUCAAAAUAUUUAGUGUUUAUUUGGUAAUGUAACGUCAUAGUUGUUGUGAAUUGAAAUUAUUUCUGUGAGAUAAAAGGAUUUGGGUCAUCGUUUGUUAUUCUCUGGCAAUAUUGUCUGGCCGUGACUAUUUGUUAAAUAUUAAAAAAAUAAAAUUAUAUUUAUUAAGUAUAAAAAAUAAAUAAACAAACAAAAAUAAAAGGAAAAGUUUAUACAUUACAUAAAAUAAUAAGAACAUUAUCAAUAUUUCACACUCUAUAAUUGAGUGAUGUGUUGUCCAACUGCCAUACAUUGGUCUCAAAUGGAGACUUAAAUAUUAAAGUCCAAAGUUAUUGUGAUGAUGACUUAUAAUCGCCAAACUUGACAUACGGGUAAUCAUGCAUUAUAAGGUGCUGAUUUCUUCCGAUCGGAACCUUAUUUUUCAUUUACAAAUAAAUAAAUGACGUGACUUAACGGGUGGUGGGGUCCUUUGUGCCAUUUGCGUAUUUCACUGAAUAGUUGAUUCAACUUGAUUGUAGCAGGAAGAUUCCUGGAAGUUGCCAUUUGCCAAUGCUACUAACAUUUUUAAACUUAGAAAACCCUUCAAUCAAUCAUUUAGUGGUAGGCUCUGGUAGCUUGCUUUGAUUAUGACAUAUGAUUAUUUGAUAAUAAAGUUAGAGGAUCUUAUUAAAUUCAUCCACAUGAUCCUUCAAGGCUCUGCUGUACGGCCAAGGCGGAUGUACGGUACAGCAGGUGUUGAAGUUAAUUAUCUCAUUAAUAAUAGUAUAAAAAGUUAAUCACUAAGAAACACAUAGCAAUAUUCUGGGAUAUAAUUUUAUAUCAUAACUUUGUAAGUGUAUAAUUACUCAUUAAAUUAACAAAAUUAUUUUAAAAUAUUUAGUUAAAAAAAUAAAUUAUAUUCUUUUUAUUUCAAAUAAUCUAUAAGUUAACACAAAACAUAAUCAAGCUGAGAAUUAAAAUAAUGCUACUGUAUGAGAGGAUUUUUAUUUUUUCCCGAAGUUUCACUAGGAAAUUAUUGAUAUAUAGCUUUAUUCGGAUCAUCUCAGAUCAAACGACAAAUAAUUGAAAGACUAAACUAAAUAGACCAGCCAACAACUUUGUACAGCAGAGUUCAAAAAUUAAGGUCAUGGUAUUGAGGUGUUCUAUCUUCAAAAGUACGGUAUAGUGAUAAAAUAAAAACUAUUAGUCUUUGGUAAGAUAUGACUUUUAAAUAAUAAUUUUCACAAAAAUACAAAGAAUAUUUAUAAAGUACUUCUAUAGUGAGGAGACCCUCGCUUUGUUAAAGUGAAAAUAUCAAUAAUAUACAAGAAACAUAUAUUUUAACACAUUAAGAACUGUAUCUUUUUAAUCUAUUGGUGUAUUGAAAUAUGUGUUAUUUAGUUUGUUAGUGAUAUCAUCACUUUGUUAAAAUAAGGAUGUUAGAACCAUUAUAUAUAAGAAAGCAAAUAUAUUUUGUACGGUAUAAUAGUGUAAUAACAUCACCUUUUUGUAGGGAAAAUUUUUGGAUUGCAAUUCUCAUACAAUACGUAAAAUUAUCAUAAUCUAUAAAUUGUAUUUUUGAUUUUCUGUGGUAGUAAGUUAGACUCCUUAGUGACGAUUUAAAUUGAAAAAAUAAAAUCAUAAAUAAGAAUUAUUUGACAAGAAUUAAAAUAAUUGAUAAAUAUUUGAGAGGAGCAAUUUUGGAAGAUUCGAUUUCUAAUCGGAGGGGAAUUUGAAUUUUACAGCCUUCGGUGAGGAAUCCAAAAUGCACAAUUUGAUGAAAAUUAAAUUUCAAUAGAAAUUGAAUUCCCUUUAUUAGUGAAAACCAAACAACAGAAAAGUGAAAGGAAUUUGAAUUCAUUUCCUUCCUCUCUUCUCCCUCCAACUAAAUACCAUCGAAAUCCAAAGGUAUGGGAUUGGGAUUCCAUACUGAUCAGAAUGGGAUUUGUUCAUAUUAUUAGGACCAAUUUUAAAAGCAGUCGGAGUUUCGGAGUUUAAGAUUGAAAUUAAUCCCAAUUGUUGAUUUGGGACUCGAUAAGAAUUUAUCUUGGAACUCCAAUUCUCCCAAUUAUUUUAGUUGACAAUAUGUUUAACAUUAUUUUUUAAACAUUAUUAAUUGCAUAUUAUUUAAUUAUCAGUAUAUAAUAUUCUUUAAUUUUCUAAUUUUAUAGGAUUAGACACAAAAUUGAUUAUGCCUUUUGAAAUUUAAGUGUUAUGUCAAUUGAAUAGAAAACUUGGAGUAAAACUUUUGGAUGCUUUUGUUGAUUAUCAAUUUAUGCAUGAAUUUUUGUACGUUUAUUUUGGUUUCUUAUUAUUACUUUUAAACAUUUUUAUUGGUUUGAUUUAGGGUUAGUUUGGUAAUCCUGUAUCUUUAAAAUUAAUUACAGUUAGCUAUGCUGUAGAAAUUGAUAAAUCGUGAAAAGAAUCAACCGAACAUUUAGGUGGCGUUUGUUUUUUUGUCUGAAAUCUGAAUAGACCUGAAUUAGUCUGAAUUCUGAAUAGGUCUGAAUGUCUGAAUCUGAAUAAUAUGUUUGUUUUUUCGUCUGAAUCUCGGAAAAUAAGUAUUAAGUUGUUUUUUUUUUCAACUUAAAAAGCUGAAAAUAUGUACUUUUACAUUUGUAUCCUUAUUAAAUUUGAAUGUCAAAUAAAUAAUAUAUUAAAUACCAUAAUAUUUUAACAUUUAUAAGUAAAACUAUAUUCAAGUGAAUACAUAAUUAUUUUGGAAUUUUAAUAUAUAAAAUACCAUAAAUUUCAAAUUUUAUUGUAUAUAAUAUAAGAAAGAAAAAAUAGGGAUAUUUUUAUGUGAGGUAAAUAUCUAUGGGUGAGUUUUGGGAUAGACAUGAAAAAUAAAUUAUAAAACAGGGAUAUUUUUGACAUUAGCAAGCAAUUGACUUAAUUCAUAUUUCUCCAUUAAGUAAAAAGCCAAAAAAAUUAGCUUAUUUUAUUAAGUCAAAAUUAUCUAAAAAGUCUCAUUAAGUUAUAAAAACAAACACGUCUAAUUAACUUAAUUAAUUAAGUUAAGUCACUUUAAGUCAUUAAGUUAAAAAACAAACACCACCUUAGUAAAUUUUAUUUUAAAAAGUACAUUUAGUUUUAAAAUCAGUCGUAUGUGUUUCAUAAAUCUUAUUGUUAAAUCAGUGCAAGAAUGUAAAUGACUGAAUCAGACAUAAUGCUAAAUAAAAUUUAUUUAGACAUUUACAAACACGUAUAUAAAAUAUUUUUAUUACGUACAUAUAAUUAUUGAUAACUAAAAUAAAUAUUUUAUAUUAUUAAAUUUUAUUCUCUAUUUUGUUAUGUCCAUAUAAUUGGUAAUAAUAAUAAUUUCUUUAAAGUUUUGUAGGGAAAAUUUUUAGAUUGCAAUUCUCAUACAAUACAUGGAAUUAUCAUAAUCUAUAAAUUGUAUUUUUGCUUUUCUGUGGUAGUAAGUCAGGCUCCUUAGUGACAAUUUAAAUUGAAAAAAUAAAAUCAUAAAUAAGAAUUAUUUGAUAAGAAUUAAAAUAAUUGAUAAAUAUUUGAGAGGAGCAAUUUUGGAAGAUUCGAUUUCUAAUAGGAGGGGAAUUUGAAUUUUACAGCCUUCGGUGGGGAAUCCAAAAUGCACAAUUUGAUGAAAAUUAAAUUUAAAUAGAAAUUAAAUUCCCAUAUAUUAGUGAAAACCAAACAACAGAAAAGUGAAAGGAGUUUGAAUUUCAGGGUCCAACUACAAUACCUGUGGGGUUUGGUACCCUAUUUUUUGUCUUUUUCAAACCUACCGUUGGAUUUAAUGUAAGAAUUGCGUAAUGGCUGAGAUGUGAUUAUUGGGUUAUUAACAUCAAAGACCCUUAUUGUUCAUGCAAAAUAAACAAAAUCAAAAGUUUUGAAAUUUGACAUAUAAGUCCAUAAUAUUCUCUCUUUUUUUUUUAACUCCAUUGAAAUAGGUUUCCAAUUAAAUGACUUAUUCUUACAUUUAUUAAUAUCUAUUUAAAUUAAUUAAUUAAUUAAUUAACUACUUUGUUAUAUAGUUAAACAAUGCAUGUAUAUUAUUUACUAACCAUAAUUAGUGAUAAGUAUAAAUAUGAUCUUUUUUUUUUAAUUUAACAUAAUGGCAACCAAUUAUCUCUCACCUAUGUGAACAAGGUUCAAAACCCAUAAUUUUGUUUUUCAACACAAGAGAUUUUAUUAUCUCAAGUAGAUGAAAUAUACAAAAUACAAAAAUAAACUUAAUUUCAUAUUCUAUGUAGUUAAUUUUUUUUGUAACAUAAUAUUUAUUAAACAUACUAUCAACUAUUUAAUUAUAUAGUAAAAAUAUGUUAAUUUACUAAUAAUAAUAAAAUGUUAGUUUAUUAACUUGUAAAAUCUUUUUGUUAACAAUGAGUUUUUGUCCUUAAAUAAAUAAUAAUAAUUUAAUUGCACGCUUAAAUAAAUUGGUAUUUGUUACUCCACCCCAACUAUUUAAAUAGUCAUUAACUUAUCGGAGAGAAGGGUAAAAAAAUUCUAAACAAUUACUCUAUUUGAAAAUAAUUUAAAUAUUUCUUUAAAAAAAACUAAAAAUAAGUAUUUUCUAUUCUUUCUUCUUUCUUGCUAACAUCACAGAUGGAUAACAAUAGAGAUGGCAAUUCAACACAUAUCUAUCAAUUAAAAUAGAAGUCAAUUAAUAUAAUUAAGUGAAUAAUUAAUUGUGUCAUGAAUGAAUUAUCAUAUUAGGAGUUUUAAAACCAAACCCAAUAGAAUUAUUAAUCAAGUUAACAGCUAGAAAGAGCAAACAAAUCCAUUCAAGUUGGAUGUCUAAGUAUCUGAUCUGAAUAGAUUGGAUAGUAUCCAUAUAAAAUACUCUGAAUUUGAUUUAUUCAAUAUCCAUCCAUGAACUUGAAUAUUAGUAAUAUUUAAGUGUAUGAGACUAAAAUUAAGUAUUAUAUUUAAUAUUUAAGUUUUGUAAAUCAAAUGAAAAAUCAAAAUAAUAUUGCUAAAAAUUAUUGCACCACCAAUGACAACAAUGACGGUAUCAUCACUAAGAAAUAGACGUGAGUGAACAGAAAAACAAAAAACUAUCAACGUAUUCAAAAUUCUCUGAUCAAUGUAAUGGUGGCAAUGUUGCCGGAUAAAUAGAUAUGUCGGCGAUAGAUGAGCCUUCCAAUGCAAACAACUAUAACAAGACCCUAUGAUUAGAUGACAUUUUAACGCAGGGCGGAAGCGAUACUAGAUUUCGUUCUAUUAUACGUCUUGAAAACUCAAGAAAGAGACUCUCAUCAAAGAGAAGAUAUUUUAAUUGAGAAAAAACUGAAUAUUAUUAAUGAGAAGCUUGUGUCUGUUAUCAUAAAUUAAGAAUAAAAAGCCUAUAUAUAUAAUAGUAGCUAAAUUAAUCCUUAUCUUUCUCAAAUAAGAGAAAUAAUCUAAAAUCCUAAUUAGAUUAGAAUUACAAAUAUGACUCAAGUAAGCUUAAUAAAAUAAGAUAAAUCCUAAUAAAAUACCAAAUUUUAAAUUGACCCAAAUAUUAUAAUUCCUAGUAAAUUCUAAUUUAUUUAUUUUUUUAUAAGUUUGUUUGGUUUUUGGGUGUUUUUUAAAGAACAGAAAAUUAUAGGUAAUAGUAUAAGUAUAGAAAAGUAAAGGGGCAAAAUUAUAAAUAGGCAAAAGUUGGUGUUGCCAGCGACGAUGGUCGAAAAUUUGGCCUAGGAUAGGUGGAUCUAGAAGAUUUGAUGGUGUUGAGUGUGAUGCUGGUGGUGAUUUGUCUCAAAUAGUUGUGAUUUGACUGAAAAGUUGAGUUAAAGUAGUGGGUGGAGGUUGGUUUCAGUUUCUGGCGAUCCGGCCGAGGGUUGGCAGCGUGAGUGGGUUGAAAAGAAAGAGCUGAUGAUCGUGGAGGAAUGGGUGGUGGUGGAGGCUGUGAAUCGUAACGGAUUGCAGCGAAUAGAGAGGUGGAUUUUCGUGGUGGUUCAGCGGUUGUUUUGGCUAGUUUCCCGUGGCUACGGUGACGGGAUGGUGGUGUUAUGGGUUGGGUUAUGAUUGGCGACGUGAGGGCUUUUGGAUGGGAGAGAGGAUCGACCAAAAAGAAGAGAAACCAGUGGCGGCGGCAGCCGUGUGGCACGGAUGUGAUGGUAGCUUCGGGUUUUGUUGGGUUUUUUUUUUUAACUUGAUGGAACUAAUGUACGAAGUUGGUGGUCGAGAAUGCUCUGCCUAGUGCAGAAAAAAGCUCUAAUAUGAUUUAUGUCUUGAAAACUUUAAAAAGAUGCUCUCACCAAGGAGAAGAUAUCUCAAUUAUGAAAAAAUUAAAAAUUAUUAAUAAGAAGUUUGUGUCUGUUAUCAUAAAUUAAGAAUAACAAGUUUAUAUAUAUAAUAGUAGCUAAUCUUUCUCAAAUAAGAGAAAUAAUCUGAAAUCCUAAUUAGGUUAGAAUUACAAAUAUGACUCAAGUAAGCUUAAUAAAUAAGAUAAAUUUUAAUAAAAUAUUAAAUUUUAAAUUGACCCAAAUAUUAUAAUUUCUAGUAAAUUCUAAUUCAUUUUAUCUAAUAUGCUUCCUACAUCACGUUUUAAGGUUCAUUGCCUUUAACAACCAAAUUGAGGGUCUCUAAAUUUAAAAAAGAAAAAGAAAAGAAAACAAAAGGUGGUAGUGUAAUGUAACUCCUUGUGUUUUUGUGGUAUAGUUAUUGUUGCAGUUAUUUUAGAAGGAGCAUGCAACUUUACAUAUCACCAUUUGCUAGCAUUGAGACUAUCUUUAUGUAAAUCAUCCAAUUUCAAAUAUAAUGGAACCCUUCAUGUCCCCUUUCGAUUAAAAAUAUCAUUGCACGCGAAGAAACAGUAGUCACUAGUGAUUGUUUUAAUACAAAAUAUCUUUUUAUAAUUAAUUAAAAAAUAAGAAUAAAAAAUUUAUUUUAUUAUUCUGUUUCUAUAUGGAAAAUAAUUUUAAUUACCUUUUAAUUAAAAUGGGUGAGAAAAAUGAUGUCAUUGAUGGUGCAAAAUGGAUGAGAAAAAUGAUACUGUGUUGGUGUAGGACUAAUGCGUAAAAUUUUAAAAAUUUUCAACAUUUUCAUUUUUAUAACAAAUACCAGGACACUAUUAUAAUUGACCUUUAAAAAGACAAAAGAGAGGGGUACCAAAGGCAUGUUGCAAUGUAGCUUUGCCCUUGAAUUCAUUAAUUUUCUAAUUUUAUAGGAUUAGACACAAAAUUGAUUAUGCCUUUUGAAAUUUAAGGGUUAUGUCAAUUGAACAGAAAACUUGGAGUUAAACUUUUGGUUGUUUUUGUUGAUUAUCAAUUUAUGCAUGAAUGUUUGUACAUUUACUUUGGUUUAUUAUUAUUACUUUUAAACAUUUUUAUUGGUUUGAUUUAGGGUCAGUUUGGUAAUUUUAUUUUUAAAAUAAUUACAGUUAGUUAUGCUGUAGAAAUUGAUCAAUUGUGAAGAGAAUCAGCUGAACAUUUAGUAAAAUUUAUUUUUAAAAGUACUUUUAGUUUUAAAAGCAGACGUAUGUGUUUCGUAAAUUUUAUUAUUAAACUGGUGAAAAAAUAUAAAUGACUGAAUUGAACAUAAUGCUAAAUAAAAUUUAUUUACACAUUUACAAACAUGUAUAUAAAAUAUUUUUAUUAUGUAUAUAUAAUUAUUGAUAACUAAAAUAAAUAUUUUAUAUUAUUAAAUUUUAUUCUCUAUUUUGUUAUCUCAAUAUAAUUGGUAAUAAUAAUAAUAAUCUAUUUUAAGUUAAUGAUUUUAUUUCUUAAUUCAUAAAGAUAAUUUUGGAUUUUUAUUAUAUAAUGAGGAUAUAUAUAGAAUUGGAUUAAGUAUAAAAGUAAUUCUCAAAAUCAAAUUUUGAAAAACUAUUCAUUCACUACUUUUCAAAAUCUACUGUAUGAUGAGAUGAUUUUACCGAAAGUAAUUACUAAAAAAAUUUAUAAAACACUAAAACUUAGCUUUUAUGGUAUGUUUACUUCAUGGAAUGAGGAAUGUGAAUGAAAGAAUGAGAAUGAAACCCAUGUUUACUUGGCAAAAUAUAAUUUGGGAAUGAGAAUAAAAUGUGUGGAUCUCACACAAUUUGAGAAUAAGGAAUGGGAAUCCCAAGCCCAUGAGGGGUUGGGAAUAAAAAUGAGGGAAUGAGAAUGAAAUAUAUAUUUACUUUUGUAUCCCUCUAAUUUUUUCAUAUUUCCUAAAUUACCCUCAUUCAAAUCACAAUUAAUUUUAUUAUUUAAAAUUUCAUUAAUAAUAAUAAUAAUAUUAUUAUUAAAUUUUAUUAACUUUAUUAUUUUAGUUAUUAUUAAUUAUUUUUAUUAAUAUUAUUAUUAUUAACAAUAAAAAUAAUGAUAAAAAUAAUAAUUAAUAAAAAAUAAUUAAUUUAUCAUUAUUAACAAUAUUAUCAUUAUUUUUGUUAUUAUUAUUAUUAUUAUUAAAAAUAAUAAUAACAAUAAGUAAUAAUAACUAAAAUAAUAAAGUUAAUAAAAUUUAAUAAUAAUAAUAAUAAAUGUUAAUAAUGAUAAUAUUAAUAAAAAUAAUAUUAACAAUAAUUAAUAAUAACUAAAAUAAUAGAGUUAAUAAAAUUUAAUAAUAUUUUAUUAACUCUAUUAUUUUAGUUAUUAUUAAUUAUUGUUAAUAUUAUUUUUAAUAGUAAUAAUAGUAAUAAUAACAACAAUAAUGAUAAAUUAAUUAUUUUUAUUAAUUAUUAAUACUAUGGGUAUUAUGGUAAAUUGAUUCUCAUUCUCAUUUAUUUUGCCAAGUAAACACAUCAAUUGCAUUCCAGCACAUUCCCAUUCCCAUUUAUUUUUGCCAAGUAAACAUUGAAAUCUCAUUCCCAUUCCUCAUUUCCUUUCCAGUCCAUUCCCAUUCCACCUCAUUCUUAUUCCAAGAAGUAAACGCACCAUUAAUAUUUAAAAUCACUUUUGAGAUUCCCAAAAACAAUCCUAACAUGCCUUUAUUUGGGUGGUGUUAGAACUUUUAGUUUUUAAAUUUAUAAAACAUUAAAAAUUAGCUUUUAGUUUUUAAAAUCACUUUUGAGCUUCCCAAAAACAAUCCUAACAUGCCUUUAUUUGGGUGGUGUUAGAACUUUUAGUUUUUAAAUUUAUAAAACAUUAAAAAUUAGCUUUUAGUUUUUAAAAUCACUUUUGAGCUUCCCAAAAACAAUCCUAACAUGCCUUUAUUUGGGUGGUGUUAGAACUUUUAGUUUUUAAAUUUAUAAAACAUUAAAAAUUAGCUUUUAGUUUUUAAAAUCACUUUUGAGCUUCCCAAAAACAAUCCUAACAUGCCUUUAUUUGGGUGGUGUUAGAACUUUUAGUUUUUAAAUUUAUAAAACAUUAAAAAUUAGCUUUUAGUUUUUAAAAUCACUUUUGAGCUUCCCAAAAACAAUCCUAACAUGCCUUUAUUUGGGUGGUGUUAGAACUUGUAACUUUUGGAUCUUUUAGUUUUUAUUGGUUGGAUACAAUAUUGUGACUUGAGCGUCGGAGGGUUUUCACCGGAAAAACUUCUAGCGCCCCCUGACUGUUCUUUGUGCUUGCAUGCUCGCGGGUUAUCUGCUCAUGGAUCAUCUGCUCAUAGAACAUCUGCUCACGGUGCUCACUGAUCAGCAGCUCGUGGAUUAUCUGCUCAUGGUGCUCACUAAUCAGCAGCUCAUAGAUUAUCGGCUCAUGAAUUAUCUGCUCAUGGUUAGAGGAUUUUCUUGAAGAUUAAUAAGCCGCUUCUUCACCAAACAAAUUUAUUGUUGAUGCGGGGAUGUGGUUUUGAGUCAACAACCAACUCAACCAGAUUUCUGCAUCAACAUAAAGUAUUAAUCAGCUUAAUUAAUUUAUAAAAUUUAAAUCUAAUUAAUAAGUGACACAUAAAUGCCAAGUGCAAUAUAUGCAAAUCAUGUUUGUCGAUCAUUACAAAACUGGCUCUUGAAAACAAGCAAGAAAGCUUAAUUAAGAACUUAAAACAAAAAGAAUUAGAUUGAGGACAGUCAAGCCUUAUUUUUUCAAGGAUGGAGCUUAUAAAUCUUCAAGUACCAACAUAUGCUUGGCCCAAUUGUUGUUAUUAAAAUUUCAAAAUAUAAGUAUGACAUAGCAAAAAUUUGAUGGUACAUGUGUCGGAAUAUACUAGCUAGUUCAUGGAUGCAUUUGAUUAUUGUUUCCAUAAAUUUGAACCAAGAAGGAUGACACAAUAAAAUUUGAUUUUAUUAUAUGGUUGAUUUCAUAUCUCAUGCACUCAUUUCUUAAGAUAAUCAGAUUUUCUCUGACAUCUUUUGCAAAUGUGGAAAUAUCAAUUAUGAUCAAUCAAAACGAUCUCAAAACCUUUCAACGAGACAUAUUCAUAAUACAAUAUUGUGAAAAUUACACCAAAAAUUUGAUUUAUUAUAUAUUAUUAUCCAACGAGCACACAAAAAUGAAUUCAUACAAAUCUAAAAUACUUAGCAAUUUUCAAAUAGAAUUUACCAUGUACUACAAGAAAAUAUGGUAUAUGUGACCCCUAAUGCGAAUGCAAAAGCAGCCAUUACGUAUAUCACUAAGAGCCUGUUUGGUAUGGCUUAUUUAAGAGCCAUAAGUGCUUAUUUAAUCGUAUAAGCGCUUUUUAAAAUUUUUUAUGGUGUUUGGUUAUUUUUUUAAUAGAGUUUUUUUAGCUUAAAUAAGCUAAUUUACCUCUACUAGGAAAAGCCCAAAAUUUGAGCUUUUGGGAGUAGAGGUUAUAAAGCUUUUCUAAAUAUAUAUAAUAUAAAAAAUAUCAUAUAGUUUAAUGGUUCAAAAGUGCUUUUUUUAUUGACAACCAAACACCCAAUGACACUGCUGUCACAUAUGUUACUAACCACGUGACGGUAAAGAGCCGUUCGGUAUACUACUAUUUUAGAAUUUUAAAUUUAUUUCCAGUUAGAAAACUAUUCGCUGGACUCCAUCGUAAACCUAACUGGUUGCCGGCGAACGGCGUAAAACACCGGGCAUCUUCUUCUUCAUCGUAUUCUCCCUUCAUCUUUUGAGUUAAGCUUGUGAUUAUGAGUUUCUUCUCUUACUUAGCUUGUAAUUAUAGAUUUUGAUUCUUUUUAAUUCGUAUUGUAGUCGUUAUUGUCAAUUUUUGUCUCGCCAGCAAUUGUUUUUAUUCCUACAAGUUGAAGCCCCUGUGUUCUUGUUCCAUUGGUGUGUUUGCUCACUCAAAUUAAUUUUGUUCUACAAAGUUCAAAUGGAUUCAUUUGAAUUACUAUUGAAUUUAGCUUUAAUUCCAACAUCCAUUCUAAUGUUUUGCUAUUAGAUUUACUUUAAUUUUAUGUUUAAAGCUUCUACAAUGAAUAGCGGAGCUUGGGUUUUAGUUUCAUUUUCUAGAUAACUUGUUUAUCUUGUAUGCUCACCAAGUGCAUGUUAUAUUGUCUGAUAAGUUAUAUAUAUUGCUGAUUCUAUAUUAAUAAUGUUACGUUCUAUUUUCAGAAAUUAUAAUAUAAACUGAAUUAACUUGUAGAAUAAGAGCUUGGAGUAGUGUUAUGUUCUUGAAUAAAUGAAAGUCCAUAUUGUGUAAGAGCAUGUAGAUGUAAAGCGCAUUGCCAUUUCUAUAAAGGACUUUCAUUCUGUUCAGAUGCUCCUCUUGAACUCUGAAAGGUGCCUCAUUCAAGUCCUAGCUAUAACUACUAGCUUUGAUUAAUUAAUUUCCUGUACUAGCAGAAACAGAUUUAUUUAUUUAAAUAAUUGUCUAUGUACUAAUUAUAAUGAAAGUAUAUGAAGAAAUUUUUUAACAUGAAUGACUUCUAAAUGACUUAAAAACCUAAAGGAUAUGAGAAAUAAUGCUCAUUUCACUUGAACGAGCCUAUUAAUACUUGUAUGUCUAUGAUUGUUAAUAUUGGCUUAAGCAUUUCAGUUAAAUGGUUUACAUAACAGGGAAAAAAAUUUAAAUGAAAACUUUAGAGUUCUAACAGAAAUAUAAUUGACUAUGCAGAUAUAGUUAUUUUAUGGUAUACAAAUCAUGUUGCCUUAAUCUCAAUGUCCUAUGACCUAUUUUAUUUUAUAUAGUCAUUCAUUUUUGCCAUGGCUUUUUGUUUUUAUGAGUAUGGAAAUAGUGGGAUUUGGUGUAUCUUAGCAUCUUUGGAAAAUUCUCUUUAAAUGUGGCAAACAAAAAUAUACAUAUAAUCAAGUUUCUUAAUCAACUAUCAUAACUGGCUAGCAUGAUGAUUUUAUAGCAACAAGGAGGCCAAGAAGAGAGAUAAAGAAACCUGGAUGACUUACUAAAGAUAUAGUGGUAGCCUAUGCACUUCCAGUUAUUGAUGAUGACAUCCCCAACACUUUCGGUGAAGCAUUACACAGCAGUGAAAGUGAUCAGUGGAAGUUAGCCAUGGAGGAAGAGAUGAAAUCUCUGCUGUACGGCCAAGGCGGAUGUACGGUACAGCAGAAACAAAAAUAUACAUAUAAUCAAGUUUCUUAAUCAACUAUCAUAACUGGCUAGCUAGUUCUUGCCUGCCUUGCUGCCAUUACCCAGGCCAUUACAUUGCAUAGCAUAAGGAAUAGUGAUUAGGUGCUUAUUAGUGAUUCGUUGAGCUUAUUAUUGACAAACCAACAUAUUCGCCUUUACCCACAACUUAGUUUGAUUAGUUAUUGUUGUGUAAUAGACCAAGUUCGUAACCCAACUGAAGCAAUUAAUCAGAUUUACAAAACAAGCAAGAACCCAGAAAACGAACCAGGGGAUACAGUCAAGUAACCAAGAACAAGAAAGAAAACUUAAUCAAGAGAUACAAAACAGAGGUUAACGUGGUUCAGUACCAUGAGUACUUACAUCCACGAUCAGGAACAGUAGAGCUAAAGCUUUAUUAGGAGAUAUCAAGAUUACAAUGGAAUCCACUCAGAGCAAGAAACUAAACUCACACAGAGAAUCUUUCUCAACUCACAAACUAUCUCACUUGACUAACUGAUCAGCUCUCUCUCUCACUGAAGCUAUAAAGCUAGCAGUUUACAGCUGGUUAUAACGACUAACUAAAACCACCUGGGGACCCACCCAUGCUGACUCAGCUUUCCAGCUCAGCUAAUAUAUAUAACCGAAUGUAACUAACUUGAUUCCACAAAUCUCCACCUUAGUUAACUCGGUUAUGGCUUUACUCAUCACUGCUCCAUCACCAGUUAACUUGUCUCACAAGUUAAUAACCCCAAUCAAGUCCAAGGAGUUCCUGAACUUAACUGUUGGCAAAGGUUUUGUUAGCAUGUCUGCUGGAUUUACUUCAGUAGGAAUUUUAAUGACAUUGAUUACACCAUUUCGAAUUUCUUCCCUGAUAAAGUGCAUCCUCACAUCCACAUGUUUUGUUCUUUCAUGGUACUUGGGGUUUUUGCUCAACUGUAUAGCACUUGAGCUAUCACAAUUGACAGUGACUGAUUCUUGUUCCAAACCCAGUUUUGUAACUAACCCCUUCAACCAUAAUGCUUCUUUCACAGCCUCUGUUAAAGCAAUAUACUCUACCUCUGUUGUUGAGAGAGCAAUUACUGAUUGUAAUGUUGACUUCCAGCUCACAGCUCCACCACAGAGAGUAAACACAAGACCAGUGACUGACCUUCUCCUAUCUAAAUCUCCUGCAAAGUCAGAAUCAACAGAUCCCACAACUUGGCUAGAUGCAUUACUAACUUGUCCAAACAUUACUCCAUACUCUUCAGUACUUUUAAGAUACCUCAGUAGCCAUUUAACAGCUUCCCAAUGUUCCUUGUCUGGAUUCCCCAUGAACCUGCUGACAAGACCAAUUCCAUAGGCAACAUCUGGUCUGGUACAGACCAUAGCAUACAUAAUGCUACCAACUGCACUGGAGUAGGAAUUCUCCUCAUGAGAUCAAUGUCUGCUUCUUCUCCUGGUUCCUGCUGUUUAGAAAGUUUGAAGUGUGCUGCUACUGGGGUAGUGACAGGCUUUGAGUUCACCAUCCCAAAUCUACUGACAACCUUUUUCAAAUAUCCAGAUUGUGUGAGAAAUAGAGUCUUGGCAUGUCUGUCCCUUUUGAUUUGCAUUCCCAGUAUCUUAGCAGCAGGACCCAAAUCCUUUAUUUCAAACACUGCCAUUAGCUCAGUCUUGAGCUUCUCAACUUCUGCUCUAUGUUUACAUGCUAUAAGCAUGUCAUCAACAUAGAGGAGUAGACUGAUUUGAUCACCUAAGUUCAGCUUCCUGAAGUAAACACAAUUGUCAUAUUCACUUCUGCUGAAGUUGUGAUUCAGCAUGAACUCAUCAAACUUUAAGUACCAUUGCCGAGGAGACUGCUUCAAUCCAUACAAGCUUUUCUUGAGUAAGCAAACCAUGUCUUCAGUUCCUUCCUCAAUAAAGCCUUCUGGCUGAGCCAUCAGGAUUUCUUCUUCUAAGUUUCCAUGUAAAAAAGCAGUCUUCACAUCCAUCUGGUCCAAUUCUAAAUCAAAGUAGGCUGUGAUGGCUAAUAGAACCCUUAUAGAGGAAUGUUUCACAACAGGUGAGAAGACUUCAUUGAAGUCUAUCCCUUCCUUUUGUGUGAACCCCUUUGCCACAAGCCUGGCUUUAUACCUCACUGAUUUACUUCCAGCAACUCCCUCCUUGAGUUUAAAGAUCCAUUUGCAGCCCACCAACCUUCUUCCAGCAGGCCUCUGAACUAGCACCCAAGUGUUAUUGUCUUUGAGUGAUGCCAUUUCUUCUUUCAUAGCACUCAGCCAUUUUAGCUUAUCUCUGCUAUUUAUAGCCUGCUUGUAGCUUUUAGGUUCUUCUCCAGUCAUCUCAUUAGCAACCAUUAGUGCAUAGGAUAUUAAGUCAGCAAUCCCAUAUCUUUUGGGCAGUUUAACUACCCUCCUUUCUCUAUCCCUCGCAAGCUGAUAGUUAUCAAGUUCUGAUGUUGUAGUACUUUCUUGAUGGUGCUCAGUCAUCUCUUUACUUACUUCCAAAUUGUCUCUGGACUCCACCUUCAACUUAGAUCUCUUUUGAGGUUCAGAUAUUUCAACUUCUGUUCCAACCUUCUGCUGCAACAUAGCUUCCUCAUUAAACACUACAUCUCUACUAAUCAAGGUUCUGGAUGGCUUGCCAUCAAUGCACCAGAUUUUGUACCCCUUUAUGCCUUCAGGAUACCCAAUGAAGUAUCCUUUCACAGCCCUUGGUUCUAGCUUGCCCUGACUUAUAUGAGCAUAAGCUGGGCAGCCAAACACCCUGAGAUUACCAAGAUUUGGUGGCUUCCCUGACCAUGCUUCUUGUGGUGUUUUGAAAUCUAAAGCUGAUGAGGGGCUCCUAUUUAUUAGAUAUGCAGCUGUAUUAACUGCCUCAGCCCAAAAAUGCUUUGACAGAUUUGCAUUAAACAGCAUGCAUCUGACCUUUUCAAUUAAGGUUCUAUUCAUCCUUUCAGCCAAGCCAUUUUGCUGGGGAGUGUGUCUCACUGUCCUAUGUCUUGCAAUGCCCUUUGAUUUACAAAAAUUUUCAAAGUCACUGCUGCAGAAUUCCAGGCCAUUAUUAGUCCUCAGCCUUUUAAGCUUCUUUUCUGUUUGGGUUUCCAUAAGUGCAGUCCACUCUUUAAACCUUUCAAAUGCUUCACUCUUAUGCUUCAGCACAUAGACCCACACUCUUCUAGAGUAAUCAUCUAUGAAUGUGAUGAAGUACCUAGCUCCACCAUGAGAGGGAACUUGGGAUGGUCCCCAAAGGUCUGAGUGAACAUAGUCUAAGGUCUGUUUUGUUUCCUGUCUACCAGAGUUGAACUUUUGCCUUGUGGCUUUACCGAACACACAUUUUUCACAAAAUUGUAGUGAGGUGAUUUGAUCAUUUCCUAGCAGCCCUUGCUUACUUAAUUCUCUCAACCCCCUUUCACUCAUGUGUGCUAGCCUCAUGUGCCAAAGUUUGGUUUUAUCACUGCUUACACUAGCUGUGAUUGCUGGCAUAGUUGUUGAGCCAGCAAGUACAUAUAAACCAUUCCUCCUUAUGCCUUUCAUUAUAAUCAGGCCUUUAUCUUCAAUUUGAAGAUUUCCAUUUUCUGCUUUUAUACUACAGCCCCUCUGAUCCAUAACUCCUAAAGAUAUUAGAUUUCUUUUUAAUUCUGGAACAUAUCUGACCUGAUAGCCUGCUUGUAGCUUUUAGGUUCUUCUCCAGUCAUCUCAUUAGCAACCAUUAGUGCAUAGGAUAUUAAGUCAGCAAUCCCAUAUCUUUUGGGCAGUUUAACUACCCUCCUUUCUCUAUCCCUCGCAAGCUGAUAGUUAUCAAGUUCUGAUGUUGUAGUACUUUCUUGAUGGUGCUCAGUCAUCUCUUUACUUACUUCCAAAUUGUCUCUGGACUCCACCUUCAACUUAGAUCUCUUUUGAGGUUCAGAUAUUUCAACUUCUGUUCCAACCUUCUGCUGCAACAUAGCUUCCUCAUUAAACACUACAUCUCUACUAAUCAAGGUUCUGGAUGGCUUGCCAUCAAUGCACCAGAUUUUGUACCCCUUUAUGCCUUCAGGAUACCCAAUGAAGUAUCCUUUCACAGCCCUUGGUUCUAGCUUGCCCUGACUUAUAUGAGCAUAAGCUGGGCAGCCAAACACCCUGAGAUUACCAAGAUUUGGUGGCUUCCCUGACCAUGCUUCUUGUGGUGUUUUGAAAUCUAAAGCUGAUGAAGGGCUCCUAUUUAUUAGAUAUGCAGCUGUAUUAACUGCCUCAGCCCAAAAAUGCUUUGACAGAUUUGCAUUAAACAGCAUGCAUCUGACCUUUUCAAUUAAGGUUCUAUUCAUCCUUUCAGCCAAGCCAUUUUGCUGGGGAGUGUGUCUCACUGUCCUAUGUCUUGCAAUGCCCUUUGAUUUACAAAAAUUUUCAAAGUCACUGCUGCAGAAUUCCAGGCCAUUAUUAGUCCUCAGCCUUUUAAGCUUCUUUUCUGUUUGGGUUUCCAUAAGUGCAGUCCACUCUUUAAACCUUUCAAAUGCUUCACUCUUAUGCUUCAGCACAUAGACCCACACUCUUCUAGAGUAAUCAUCUAUGAAUGUGAUGAAGUACCUAGCUCCACCAUGAGAGGGAACUUGGGAUGGUCCCCAAAGGUCUGAGUGAACAUAGUCUAAGGUCUGUUUUGUUUCCUGUCUACCAGAGUUGAACUUUUGCCUUGUGGCUUUACCGAACACACAUUUUUCACAAAAUUGUAGUGAGGUGAUUUGAUCAUUUCCUAGCAGCCCUUGCUUACUUAAUUCUCUCAACCCCCUUUCACUCAUGUGUGCUAGCCUCAUGUGCCAAAGUUUGGUUUUAUCACUGCUUACACUAGCUGUGAUUGCUGGCAUAGUUGUUGAGCCAGCAAGUACAUAUAAACCAUUCCUCCUUAUGCCUUUCAUUAUAAUCAGGCCUUUAUCUUCAAUUUGAAGAUUUCCAUUUUCUGCUUUUAUACUACAGCCCCUCUGAUCCAUAACUCCUAAAGAUAUUAGAUUUCUUUUUAAUUCUGGAACAUAUCUGACCUGAUUUGGAUCCCUUUCAAUGCCAUCAAACAUCCUAAUGCUAAUGGUGCCAAUUCCAGCUACCUUACAGGCAAGAUUGUUCCCAAGCAAGACUUUUCCACCAUCAAUGCUUUCAAAAGUCUUAAAGAAAUCUACAUUUGGACACAUAUGGAAGGAGCAACCUGAGUCAAGAAUCCACUCACCUGAAGAUUGCUUUUCUGCAGCAAUGAGGACAUCUGCAUCAUCUGACAUCCCUUCAUCUUCAGAGGCUACAGCAGCUUUUCCAUUAGAUUCCUUUUGCAAUUUCUCAAGCUUCUUCUUCUCAAAACAAUCCUUGAUGUAAUGACCUUCCUUUUGACAAAAGUAACAUUUUCUCUUCUUUUUCUUCUUGUCUGGUUUAUCUUUCUGGUUGCUGUUCUUCUUGUCUUUGUAGAAUUUCUUAUCUGGUUUUGCUUUUGCAACUAAGCUUUCUGCAGGGUUUUGAUCCUUCCCAUCUAUUCUUCUCUUCAAGUCCUUUGAUUCCAGGGCAUUCUUUACAUCCUUUAAUGUAAGUGUUUGUCUUCCAUAAAGCAAUGUAUCAACAAAAUGUUCGUAAGAGUCUGGGAGUGAGCUUAAUAGGAUUAGGGCCCUAUCUUCAUCUUCAAGAACUAUAUUCACAUUUUCAAGGUCUAGGAUCAGCUUAUUAAAUUCAUCCACAUGAUCCUUCAAGGCUGUUCCAUCCUUCAUUGAAAAUGUGUAUAGCUUUCUUUUCAUAUACAGUCUCUUGGCUAGGGAUUUCUUUAAAAAUAAUUCUUCCAGUUUCUCCCAUAGACCAGAAGCAGUCUUUUCUUUAGACACCUCUCUUAGCACUUCAUCCGAGAGAUGUAGGAUGAUAGUGCUAUGAGCUUUGUUGUUGAUAGUCUUCAUGUCUCUGCCAGAGCUGGAUGAUCAUUCUUCCUUCCCUUUCUUGGCCUUUGAAUCUUCAUCUUCUUCAAGAGCAGCAUCCAAUCCUUGUUGAAUCAAGAUUGCCCUCAUUUUGAGACUCCACAAAUAGAAGUCAUUGUCCCCAUUAAACUUCUCCAGAUCGAAUCUUGUAGAUGCCAUUGGAGGAUUUCAAAGAGCUUGAUAGAUGACCAAGCUCUGAUACCAGUUUGUUGUGUAAUAGACCAAGUUCGUAACCCAACUGAAGCAAUUAAUCAGAUUUACAAAACAAGCAAGAACCCAGAAAACGAACCAGGGGAUACAGUCAAGUAACCAAGAACAAGAAAGAAAACUUAAACAAGAGAUACAAACAGAGGUUAACGUGGUUCAGUACCAUGAGUACUUACAUCCACGAUCAGGAACAGUAGAGCUAAAGCUUUAUUAGGAGAUAUCAAGAUUACAAUGGAAUCCACUCAGAGCAAGAAACUAAACUCACACAGAGAAUCUUUCUCAACUCACAAACUAUCUCACUUGACUAACUGAUCAGCUCUCUCUCUCACUGAAGCUAUAAAGCUAGCAGUUUACAGCUGGUUAUAACGACUAACUAAAACCACCUGGGGACCCACCCAUGCUGACUCAGCUUUCCAGCUCAGCUAAUAUAUAUAACCGAAUGUAACUAACUUGAUUCCACAAAUCUCCACCUUAGUUAACUCGGUUAUGGCUUUACUCAUCACUGCUCCAUCACCAGUUAACUUGUCUCACAAGUUAAUAACCCCAAUCAAGUCCAAGGAGUUCCUGAACUUAACUGUUGGCAAAGGUUUUGUUAGCAUGUCUGCUGGAUUUACUUCAGUAGGAAUUUUAAUGACAUUGAUUACACCAUUUCGAAUUUCUUCCCUGAUAAAGUGCAUCCUCACAUCCACAUGUUUUGUUCUUUCAUGGUACUUGGGGUUUUUGCUCAACUGUAUAGCACUUGAGCUAUCACAAUUGACAGUGACUGAUUCUUGUUCCAAACCCAGUUUUGUAACUAACCCCUUCAACCAUAAUGCUUCUUUCACAGCCUCUGUUAAAGCAAUAUACUCUACCUCUGUUGUUGAGAGAGCAAUUACUGAUUGUAAUGUUGACUUCCAGCUCACAGCUCCACCACAGAGAGUAAACACAAGACCAGUGACUGACCUUCUCCUAUCUAAAUCUCCUGCAAAGUCAGAAUCAACAGAUCCCACAACUUGGCUAGAUGCAUUACUAACUUGUCCAAACAUUACUCCAUACUCUUCAGUACUUUUAAGAUACCUUAGUAGCCAUUUAACAGCUUCCCAAUGUUCCUUGUCUGGAUUCCCCAUGAACCUGCUGACAAGACCAAUUCCAUAGGCAACAUCUGGUCUGGUACAGACCAUAGCAUACAUAAUGCUACCAACUGCACUGGAGUAGGAAUUCUCCUCAUGAGAUCAAUGUCUGCUUCUUCUCCUGGUUCCUGCUGUUUAGAAAGUUUGAAGUGUGCUGCUACUGGGGUAGUGACAGGCUUUGAGUUCACCAUCCCAAAUCUACUGACAACCUUUUUCAAAUAUCCAGAUUGUGUGAGAAAUAGAGUCUUGGCAUGUCUGUCCCUUUUGAUUUGCAUUCCCAGUAUCUUAGCAGCAGGACCCAAAUCCUUUAUUUCAAACACUGCCAUUAGCUCAGUCUUGAGCUUCUCAACUUCUGCUCUAUAGCCUUUCGUAUGAUAGUUGCUGGUUGUCAUACGGCAGUGUUAUUUGUAUGUUUGCUUUGUCGUUUCUCAUCCAAUUCUGGAAACGACAAAGUCGUCUCCUUCAGAAGGUUCUGAUUCAGGUUCACAUUUAACAAUCUCCACCUUGAAUCUGAAUCACAGCACUCCUAUGGCUUCUUCUUCUCGAGCUUCUGUAUCUUCAUAUUCUACAGAUGCCAGCUAAGUCUAAGCAGUGCUCAAACUUAGCCAUUGGAACUGGCUUUGUCAACAUAUCAGCAACAUUGUUACUGGUAUGAACCUUUACAAGCUUCAUAGUUCCUUUAGAGACUUCCAGCCUGAUGAAAUGGAGCUUGAUGUCGAUGUGCUUGGUCUUUUCAUGAUGGACUUGAUUUUUGCUCAGACUGAUAGCACUUUGACUGUCACAUAGAAUUGGUAUGGAUGUUUGUUGAUACCCCAAUUCAUUUAUCAUGCCCCUUAACCAUAUUGCUUCUUUGAAGGCCUCUACAGCAGCUGUGUACUCUGCCUCUGUUGUAGAUAGGGCCACUACACUUUGAAGUGAUGCUUUCCAGCUGAUUGUGCAGUUAUUAAGUGUGAAGAGAAACCCAGUGAGUGAUCUUCUGUUGUCUAGAUCUCCUGCAUAAUCAGAGUCAACAGAACCCUCAACCAGAUUGUAGUUAGCUCUCUCCCCUCCAUACAGCAGACCAUACCUUGUAAUCCCUUUUAGAUACCUCAGUAUCCAUUUCACAGCCCUCCAGUGUUCUUUCCCUGGAUUUGACAUAAACCUGCUGACCAGGCUUACUGCAUAUGACAAAUCAGGUCUUGUUAAGACCAUUGCAUACAUUAGGCAGCCCACUGAGUUAGCAUAUGGAGUUUUCAACAUUUCAGUUUGUUCUGAUUCAGUGCUUGGGCACUGCUGACUUGAUAACCUGAAAUGAGCUGCCAUUGGAGUGGACACUGGUUUACAGUUCAGCAUCCCAAACUUCUCUAAAAUUUUGUUGACAUAUUUUUCUUGUGAUAGAAACAAGGUCCUGGCUGUUCUGUUCCUUAUCAUUUCAACACCUAAGAUCUUUUUUGCUGGGCCAAGAUCUUUCAUGUCAAACUUAUCUCUGAGUUGUUGCUUCAGCAGAUUGAUCAACUUCAUACUUUUACUUGCCAGAAGCAUGUCAUCAACAUACAGGACAAGAUAGAUCACUUCCUCCCCGUAGGUCUUUCUGAGAUAUACACAGCAGUCAUAACUGGAUUUCUGGAAAUUCAGUUCUUGCAUGUAGCUGUCAAAUUUCAAGUACCACUGUCUGGGGGACUGCUUGAGCCCAUACAAAGAUUUUUGAAGUAAGCAAACCCAAUCAGGAUGUUGAGUAUUCACAAAGCCCUCAGGUUGUGACAUUACAAUCUCCUCUUGUAGAUCACCAUGUAGGAAGGCUGUUUUAACAUCUAAUUGUUCAAGAUGCAUAUCAUAAACAGCUACCAGUGACAGAAUAAUCCUUAUUGAUGUGUGUCUGACUACAAGUGAGAAGACUUCAGUGUAAUCAACCCCUUCCCUUUGGGUAAAGCCCUUUGCUACCAAUCUUGCUUUGAAUCUCUUUGGUUCAACAUCAUGGAUUCCAUCUUUUAUUUUGUAGAUCCAUUUGCAACCCACAACCUUCCUUCCUUCUGGUUUUUUGAAUCAAUUUCCAGGUGCCAUUCUUAUUUAGAGAGUCCAUCUCAUCUUCCAUGGCCUUGAUCCAUUGAGUUGAUUCUUUACAUGCUAUAGCUUCUUCAUAAGUUUUUGGUUCCUCUUGAUCAACCUCCUGUGCUGCUGUCAAGGCAUAUGCUAUUAAGUCAGCAUAUCCCAAUCUCUCUGGUGCUUUAAUUUGUCUCUUCUGUCUGUCUCUGGUAAGCUGAUAAUCUUGUAUUGAGAUGUGCUCUAGUGUUUGAGCACUGGUCUCAUCUGAGCCUUGAGUUUCUCCAGUAUGACUUGUGUUCUGAUCAUCCUCAGUUUUUGAUAGCUCCACCUCAAAGUGAGGUGUCUCUGCACUUGGGAUUUUCUGAAUUGAGCUUUGAGUAGAAGUCUGAUUUUUCAGCAUCUCAGACUCAUUGAAAAUAACAUCCCUGCUUAUUAUGCACUUAGGUGGUUUAAGGUCUACACACCACAGCCUGUAACCCUUAGUUCCACUAGGAUACCCUAGGAAAGCACAUUUCAAUGCCCUUGGUUCAAGCUUGCCCUGCUUGAUGUGUGCAUAAGCAGUGCAGCCAAAAAUUCUCAACUUGGUGUAGUCAGCUAAUCUCCCUGACCAAACUUCAUAAGGUGUUUUAAGUUCUAUUGCAGUUGAGGGGCAUCUAUUUAUCAGGUAACAAGCUGUACACAAAGUUUCAGCCCAUAAUGUCUUUAGCAGCUUUGAAUGAAAUAGCAUGCAUCUAACUCUUUCCAUUAAUGUUCUAUUCAUUCUUUCUGCCAAACCAUUUUGUUGUGGUGUGUGCCUAACAGUUUUGUGUCUCUGGAUUCCACUCUUUUCACACAAAUCAUCAAACUGUUUAUUGCAAAACUCAAGUCCAUUAUCAGUUCUAACCCUUCUAACUUUUCUAUUAGUUUGAGUUUCAAUCAAGGUUUUUCAGGCUUUGAAUCUAUCAAAAGCCUGAUCUUUGCUCCUUAUUGGAUACACCCAUACCAUCCUAGAGAAGUCAUCUAUCAUAGACAAAAAAUAACAAGCUCCACCUAGAGAUUCAAUCUGUGCUGGUCCCCACAUAUCCGAGUGAAUAUAAUCCAAAGUACCCUUAGUAUUGUGCACUGCAGUUUUAAACCUGGUUCUUGAGGACUUUCCUAGGACACACUCCUCACAGAAUCCAACAGUACUUAUCUUAUCACUCCCUAGAGCUCCCUGUUUUUCUAGUUCUUUCAGCCCACUUUCACUUACAUGACCCAACCUGAAAUGCCACAGUAAAGUUUUAUCUAGUUCCUGUUUUAUCACUACCCCAACAUCCCCAGUUAUUGCUGAUCCUUGCAGUAUGUAUAAUCCAUGCUGCAUUACACCUUUCAUUAGUAUCAGAGACCCUUUAAUAACUUUUAAGGAGCUUGAUUCAAGUCUGAUGCAACACCCUGCUUUAUCUAACAUGCUUAGGGAAAUUAGAUUUCUUUUAAGCUCUGGAAUAUGCCUUACAUUAUCAAGUUCUCUAAUUAUACCAUCAGACAUUUUCAAUCUAACAGAGCCUAUACCAAUGACUUUACAGGAAGCAUUGUUUCCCAUCAAGACUUUACCUCCUUCAAAGGGUUGAUAGCUACUGAAUAAGUUUUUAUGGGGGCACAUGUGAUAGGUGCAGCCAGAGUCAAGAACCCAUUUACCUUCAGUUUCCAUGUUUGAAGCUACCAGAACACCAGCAGAGUCAUAUCCCUCAUCUGAAUCUUCAGAAGCAACAGCAGCAUUUCCACUUCUGUUAUUAGCAUCCUUAGGCUUAAUCUUUCUCUCAGGGCAAUCCCUUUUGAAGUGACCUUCCUUGUGGCAGUGGAAGCACUUCAAGGCACUGUUCUUAGAUUUUGAUCUUCCUUUCUUUUUUCCUUUCCAGCCAUCUCUCUUCUCUGAUCUCCCUCUUACUGACAACCCUUCACCAUCUUUUGUUUCUGAUUUCUUAGAGCUUUCUUUGGAACUCAAGGCUUCCUUGAAAUCUUGCAUGGCCAGUGAUUGUCUACCAUACAAGAGAGUGUCAACAAAAUGUUCAUAGGAAGAUGGUAAUGAAGAUAGCAGAAUAAUGGCUUUAUCCUCGUCUUCAAUCUUUACAUUAAUGUCUUCUAGAUCUAAAAUGAUCCUAUUGAAGGCAUCAAUGUGAGUAGUUAAAGAGCUGCCUUCUUCCAUCUGGAGUGUGUAGAGCCUUUUCUUUGUACUCAAUCUUUUUGUCAAAGAUUUCUUUGUGUACAAAUCCUCUAGCUUCUUCCAAAGGCCUGCAGUUGUUGUUUGGUCUCCCACUUCUCUAAGUACUCCAUCUCCUAGACUUAGGAUUAUAGUGCUGUGAGCUUUGUCCAUGGCUUCUUGCAUGUCUUCAUCUUUGACUUUGCUGAUCUUUUUCGAGGUUCUUGGAUCCUCCAGCACUUCUUCAAUUCCCUGGUGAACCAGCAAUGCUCUCAUCUUCAGCCUCCAAAGAUGGAAGUCAUUUUCUCCCGUGAACUUCUCCACAUCAAGUCUCUGUGUUGCCAUUCUUGCUCUCAAGAUUCAGAGAUGUGAGCUCUGAUACCAAUUUGUUGUAAUUAAGAAUGAGAAACCUUAAUUCUUUUACCCAAUAAAUCACCACACACUGAUCUUGUUAAGGAAAGAAUGAAGGAUCGAUAUAGAAAUCAGAUUAAGAAUAAGGGUAUUUUAAUCAGAGACAGGAAUUAAGAAAGAAUCAAGCAAAACGAAAUGCAAAGGGGAUUAUAGAGGUUCGGCUUUGCAGCCUACAUCCUCUUGAGAAACAGAAGCCAUAGCUUUUCUUUAUGCUUUAACAGAUUACAAGUAUUAGAGUAAUUGCUACAAGGAACGAUUCCUCCCAAGUAUAGCCCUCAAGGCUAUAUAUACAACUCAGAAAAGAUCCAGAUAUGUGAGUUGUACAACAGCUCUCAUUCUGGGUUUGUUUCAACAGACCCAGCAAACUCCCGCCAAUCCUAACUGUAUGUAACAGCUCUUCAAAUUGAAACGGCAUCAGCAGCUGCCGUUUAACUUAAGCUUGAUCGUGCAAGUCACGUGCGUUACUUAAGCCUUUCGUAUGAUAGUUGCUGGUUGUCAUACGGCAGUGUUAUCUGUAUGUUUGCUUUGUCGUUUCUCAUUCAAUUCUGGAAACGACAAAGUCGUCUCCUUCAGAAGGUUCUGAUUCAGGUUCACAUUUAACAACAUGCAUUGAAAGCUUAGAUCGUUUAAGAAAUUAUUAAUAGACACAUGUUUUAUUAGUGUCAUCUUUGGAUGAUAGUGAGGAUCAUAUGCCUAUUAAUAAUUCUUGAAUUGUCUAGGCUUGAACUGUUUGGGAAUGCAUAGUUUUCUAUGGUAGCUAGUAGCUGAAGUUUUUUUCCCACGUAAAAAUGAGUUUUUCGCAAGCUGCUUCUCAUCUUCUUUGGGUGCAUACUAGAUAACACAUAAACACUCAUAUAUCUAUGUCGUUGCUUGGAGAACUAAAGGGAGAUGCUGCCGAAAUUUCUAUAAACGUAGAAGAAAACUUUAAAGUACUUGAGAUUGAAGAAACUUAUGCAUUCUUGAGAGGGAUAUACGCGACCACUUACCUUUUGUAAAUAUGAAGGGAGUGUUGGACAUAUUGAUGGGAGUGGAGGAGCUGAGUUGGAUGGACGUAAUCGGUUAUAGUUUUGCUGAGUUAACUUGGUUUUGAGCUUGUAAUUUUGUUUAUAAAUGGAGUACUAUCUCCAAUGUUGGUUUAUAAAUAUGUUUCAGCUGGCUGACCUUUUUUUUUGUUUCUAGGUAACAUGCUUUGUAUCUGUAAUUGAUAACCAACUGAAGUUCUCAGCUGUGGGUGAGGAUAUUUCUUUACAGAAGGUAUUGGAAACUGUUUUUUACAUUAAUUAUUGUUGUAUAUAUACUUUAAUUUUCACGUCUUUUUCUCUGAUUCUUGUCGCUUUACUUGCUUUCAUAUAUAUAAAUUCUAAUGAAAUUAACCAUAAAAUUGUAUAAUGAUUUUUUAAUUAUAUUGCAAAACUGUGCACACACGAAAAUAUCUUGGUCAGUAGUAGAAAUGAAAAACUAAAAUGAUUUAUCUAACUAAUUUUUGUAGUGCAUUAAAAGGAGAUGGUAAUGGAGAAGAGUUGGGUUGGUUUGGCCAAUAGAUAUCUAAGUUAUAGAUUUUGCAUUUGAGAAUGUUGUUGGUGAUGCAAGAAUUUAUUAUCCUUGUAAGAAGUGUCGAAUAUUUCGUUUUAAGGGAAGUAGCAAGAGACCAUAUCAUUAUAAAUGGUUUUUGGUUAAAGUAUUAAAACUGGAUAUUGCAUGAUGAGCCAUCUUCAUCUUUGGAAUCUAACCAAGAAACAGGUUAGUCAUGACUCGGGUGCUGAUGAUGAUAUGGUUGGAAUGAUACAUGAUACAUCACGUAAUCAAAUAUUCAAUUCACACACAGCAUUGUUAUGGACUAUCAGUGACUUUCUAGCACAUGCCAACUUGUCUGAGUGGAGUAUUAAAGGUAAAUAAGCAUUCUUGUUUGCCAACAAAACACUAGAUCUAAUUGGUUGAUACAUAGUAGAAAAUUUUGUCACGUCGGUAACGUCGAUUUUUACCGACGAAUCAUAGGUUUCGAAAAUAUAGUGCCUUUUGAUAAAUCUAGAGAGUGGGGACAAGCACCUUCUCGGAUGUCUGGAGCUGAAGUGAAAAAGCAGUUGAAUAAUAUACUUACUGAGUUUAAGAUUGAAGACUUGAAAAGUGGAGAAUGAAUAAAAUGAGAGAAAUGAUAAGAUUACUUGGACGAAGAAAAGCAUAUUUUAUGAACUACCGUGUUGGGAGUUCAAUUUGAUUCAUCAUAAAAUGUGAGACAUGAGGGAGAGACAAAAGCUCAGGCUUGUCUGCAACCAUGUGGGCCCUCAUAAGCAAUUCGUGUACACAACUUGGUUCACCAAGCCCAACAACUUGAAGCAGGCAAAAUCCGGGAACGAUCCUUCUCCUUCGCAACCCUAGCUGCCUUAACCUUGUAUUUCUGAUAUUUAGUUAAAGAGUAAGAAGAUUGCUCCUCUGUCAAUUACCUUCGAGAGAGACUUUCUUUGUUUUCUUAGCGCUGAAAUGGCCUCCACAAGCUUGUUCAUGGCAGAAUGAAAGAAUAUUCUGAAUUUCAUUUUCAGGGACACAUCGUCUAAUAAUUUGGUCUGCACAAUACUUGAACAAAUACGGGUCAUCCCAAAAGAAAUUCUUUAUCUUUGCAAAGAAUUUAGUCUUGUCUUGUUUGGUCCAAUGCUCUGGAAGUUUACCUGUAACAAGAUAAUUAACUAUAUCAGCAUACCAAGGUAAUACUUCGACAUUCAUUAAUUGUUCAUCUGGAAAUGACUCAUUUAAUGGUAAUGGUUCUGUAAUUGUGUCAAAGUGAAGACGAGAGAGAUGGUCCGCCACAAUAUUUUCUGUGCCUUUCUUAUCCUUGAAUUCCAAGUCGAAUUCCUGCAAAAGUAACACCCAACGAAUUAGUCUAGCUUUUACAUCUUUCUUUGUGAGAAGAUAUUUAAGAGCAGCAUGAUCUGUGAAUAUAAUUAUUUUACAACCAAUGAGAUAAGAUCGAAAUUUUUCUAAUGCAAACACUACUGCUAGCAUUUCUUUUUCAGUAGUUGAAUAAUUCAACUGUGCAUCAUUCAAUGUCAUACUAGCAUAGUAAAUAACGUGGGGAAUUCGAUCAACUCUUUGUCCUAAUACUGCUCCUACUGCAUAAUCAGAUGCAUCACACAUGAGCUCAAAUGGUAAGCUCCAGUUUGGGGCCUGAAUGAUGGGUGAUGAUGUCAACAACUGCUUUAAUUUUUCAAACGCCAUUAGACAUGAAUCAUUAAAGAUAAAAUAUACAUCUUCUUUUUCAUUCACCGAUGCUUGCUUGUGAAAGCAAGGGUUUUAGUUACGCUUUCAACGCUGUCAAUGUAGUGAAGUUAAGCAUUCGUAGAAUAGUAUUACAAGACUGCUGAUAAAAUUUCACUUGCAGGCAUUUCUCACAAAAUUUCUGUGAUUUAAUGUGCUUUCAUGCACGCAAGUCCUAACGUUUCUGUGAUCACAAAUGAAACUGAAGAUAAAACAGAACAACUACCAAACCUUUCAAGCGUGACGAAGCCAUGAGAAUUGAUAGCUCAAUGUCAUGGGAUGAGUGUUUUGUCACUAAAACAGAACAAUAAUUUUGAACACACCAUGUGGCAUUUAGACCAUUUGAUAGUUUGUUUCAAACAUAUUUGUUUAUAAAAUACUUUUCUUCAUGGUUUUGGUCCCAUAAUUUUCUAUGUAUGUACAGGUUUUAUCGAUACCGCUUUUGACAAGUUACACUUACAUAGCAAUGCUAUCUGGGUUCAGCCUUGCCUUUUUGAUAAACUGUGCUUCUGUGAUGAAGAAUGUUUUAGCUGUAAGUGGAUAUCCUAAUCAUUGAUCCAUAUACUUAGGUUAUAUUAUCCAUCAGCAAGUAUGUAUAAAAUUAUUUUGUGUCUUUUUUUAUUAGAAAUGUUGUAAUUCUAUUUUACUCUUCCUGAAUUAUAACAUCAGGUGUCUAUAAUAACUAGGUUAUUCCUUCUGCAAAACAGAGCAGUGGUAAAUAUUUUUUUUCUUUUGUUUGUUUAGUACAUUUACAUGCUUUCAGCUUUUUCAAAUUUUGUAUGUGUCAAAGUUUAAAUUUAAUUUGUUGGUUUAUGCCACAACAAAAGGAACAGCAUCAAAGAGGAGCUGCUAAUGGACUUGCUAUGACUGUAGUGUCGCUUACCAAAACUGCCGGUCCAGCUGUAGGAGGUGCUCUGUGAGUGUCCUGUUGAUUUUGUAAAACUAUAUGUAAAUGAAGUUAUAAUUUUUUUUUCAUUAAUUGGGGUUCUGGCAGAUUUUCUUGAUCACAAAAGCGUCAAGAUGCUGGUUUCCUCCCAGGAUGAUGAUCUACUAAUGAAAUUUCUCGCGAGUUUGUGUACUAUUUCGUGCUAAUUCUUCAUUAGCUGCUUAAACAAAAGUGCAGGUAACCAGAUGGUUUUUUUUCAUUCUGAGGCACUUGGAGUAAUAUUGACAUCCAAACCGUUUCUAACUCAGCGUGCCCCGUGAGUAGCGAAAAGAGCAUCUGUUGAAAUAUUUAAAUAUAUAUCAAGCAAAUUAAAGCUUUCAAAAUCUAUCAACAAUUUGAUUAUUUGAUGUGGUUGCCACUUGCCAUAUUUUGUGUUACUGUUCAAAAGGCUUAAAUAUGAAAAUGGUGGUUGGCGCUCACAGCAACCGAUUGCUGGUAACAUUAAUUGUUCAACUUAUCUCUGUCGACAUUUAUACUUGUUCAUUGUCAGAACUACGACAAUUUAUCUUCACAAUGAUGCAAGCUAGAAAGAAUUUUUCAUGUUAAGUAAAACAUUGAAGCCAUAAAGAGUCUUAAUUGAGUACUAAGUUUUCUACCAUGCUUUCAACGGUAACACAUUUGGAGCUCUUAUUCCAGGGGCUUCACAGUAGAGAGACCUGAUUUCGACCUUCUUCAGAACUUGGGGAUUCCGUAAUAACAGAGGACAACAGUUAUAUAAGAAUAUUAUUUUGUACAAUUUUCGUAUAACCUGACCAAUGCAAGUAUAAUUUUAUGAUCUUAACUCAGAUCAAAAGACCUUCAAUGAUGUAAAAUUUGCACAUAAAGUUGAGAACCAAACAUUAGAACUUAUGAUGAAACGGAAACAAAAACGUUGAGAUUAAAAGAUAGAGAAACACAAGCUUUUUAAAAGGGAUAAAUGCUCAUUUAAUUUCUAUAUUUUGAUUUAAGAGUGCAUUUAAUUCUUAUAUUUUAAAAAGUUCCUCAACCUUAAGACACCCCCUACUAUAAAAUAUAUUUCAUUCCUACCCUUAUUUUUUUUCUUUUUACAAUAAUACUCUUGGAAUAAUAUUUUUGGGAAUAUUAAUGAAAAUAAAAAAUGGUAAUUCAUCCAGCCAGCCUUAAACAAAGUAAAUAUUAAUAAAAAAUUUUAUGUUAUUAUUUUAGUUUUAGGACUAAUAUCGUAAAUUAAUUUUUUUAUGCAUUUAUUAGUAAGAUUGCUUUAAGAAUAUUAAACAUUACUUUAAGUUGGUUGAUAUUAAUUAAUUUAUAAAUAAUUAUUAGCAAGAUUGUUGUAAAAGUACAAAAAUAUUUUCAUAUUGAUAUUUAUUGAUUAAUUUGUCAAUUAAUUUUUUUAUAAAUAAAUUAAUUAAUUUAAGAAUAUUAUUGCCAGGAUAUCAUUGUAAAAGUAAAUAAAUUUUAAGGAAAAAAAUGUAAUGUAUUUAAUAUCAAAGUAUAUUGAGAUAUUUUUCAAAAUAUAAAGACUAAACGUGCAUUGAAGUUAAAAUACAGGUACCAGACGAGCAUUUUCUCUUUUAGAAAGUUUUAUAUUUUAUAAAUGAAAGUUUGAAUAACAAAAUUAGGGUUUUGGACUCCUUUUAAACUAAACCUAAAAUAUUACUACAUAAUAAUAUUCUCCUAACUGAAAUAAGAUAAAUGCUACUUAAAUUCUAUAUCUAAAAAAAAAGAUAAAAAUCCAGAAAACAAUAGGAAAAUGGAUAUUAAACUUGUAAAAUAAUAUGAAAUAUAUAUAAUUUUCAACCGAACCACGAGGCUAAUGCGGCGCUAUAGUAUUAGAUUAGAUUCCCCUCAUCCCAAACUUCAAAAGGUAUAUUAUACACCGUAAAUAGAUACUUAUAGCUCAAGUUGUUACCCUAGAGAGAUAAUCUACUCAUCCUAUGCAACCAUCCGCUGCAUCAAAUUCGUUCCAAAAUUAAGAAUAAACCAGCUGAUGCAUUCCAAACAAUUUAGAUGAACCGAUAAAAUAAACCUAGAGAUCAAAUAAAAUCAAAUGAGAAUGAUAAUUACCUCGGACUGAAGCUCAUACAAAUUCAUUAUUUGACACCUCCAGCAAUUGUUGAAAUAAUUGUUAAUUAAAUAUAAAAUAAGACAGGUACAUAUUAAUGACACACCACUGUGAAUCGAUAGCUAAGGACGGAGUAAAAUUUAAUUGUAAAUUAGGACAGUAGAGCAAGCAUCCAUAAACAUAACAUGAACGUAAUACAUCAAUUGAAAUAUCAUACGAUAAAUUAGUCAGAGAAAGAAAUAAGUAAAUAAAUCAGCAAAGGAAACAUGCAUGAACAAAUAAAAAAAAAAACAAAGACAAAAGUAGGAAGAGUUGUCUGUGAGAAUCUUCUUCUAUGGUCAUUGAAGUCCCAAACUCAAUGGAAAUUCAAUGGAACCUUAAAAACGAACAGUGAAGGAAAAUGAAGAAAUCUGCAGGAAAUAAGGCGAGUGAGAGUGAAGAAUUAAUUACCACCGAGUAAAUGCGAAUGAAGAAUGGAGACAGAUCGAGAAGUGAGAUUCAGAGAUUGUAUUGAAAUUGAGAGUUGUGAUCCAGAAGCGAUUCUUCUUCUCCGUAAUUCCCUUUUUCUUUUAAUGUUGUUGUUAUUAUUAUUAUAUAUAUAAGAAGCGGUCCUGAUUAGUACUUCUAGAUUUUCUCUUGGGCUUUCCUUAUUAUUGUUAAAAAAUGACACGAAGAACUUUGAGUUUAAAAAUCUGGCCCUGAUGCCUGGUAGCCCUUCAACAUAUGAAGCACCAAAUGUUUUGAUGAGAAAAUGACAAGACCAUUUAUCAAAUUUCUUGUGGAUAUAAAUACAUACACAUAGACGAGGCCAACCUCCUCAAAUGAGAAUCAGAGUGAUUACAAGACCUUGCAAUGAGACAAUGAUACACCAUCAAAUGUCAAAAUACAAUAGAAAUUCACGACAUAUAUAUAAUAAAAGACCUCUCAUUGAGUCAUAUAUAUUGAGAAUAAAAAUGUUAUAAUACAUACACAGAGCUUAGUUAGAAUAAAAUGUCUUUGAACUUGCGAUGAUCAAACAAAGGAAACAGACAGGUUGUAACUCACACUAUCACAAGAAGAUCACGAAGAUGGAAAUGGGAACCCAUCAGAAUGGAAACUUUGAAUAGAUGAAAAAAGAAAAACGACCUUAUUCACAGAAGAAGAGUGACUUAAAUCUUCAUCAGUAUCCAGACAUUUUGCAAUCAUAGAGUAGAGAAAUUUUAACAGGAACAGCAGAGAAAAUAUUAUGAAUAUGCUAUAGACCAAUAUACUUGUUCAUAGCUAACGUUUGAUGGUUUAAGGAUUUGUUCUAGGAAUAAUGGGCUGAUUACUUUCUUUUUAUUUUAAUUUUUUUUUAAUCCAAUGAAUGAUAUUCAGCUGUUAAUUAUGUGUUCAUAGGGAAGAACAUUUUCUAAGUACUUUCCUUGCCUUCUAACUUUCCGAAAAGCAAACCCAAUGAGCAAACAGAGCACAAACUAAAAUAAAAGAACAGCAAUGAUAACAAUAAAUAAUUGGCAAAGAAAAAAAGGAAAAAGUAUGCACGUUUUCAAGGAAUUAUAAAAUACGAAGGCUUUUAAUGAAAUUUUAUCAUAAAAACGUACGCAAGGAGUUAUAAAAAUUUUAGAAGACGAAGGGAGCUCCCAAAAAAAAAAAAAAGAAGAAAAAGACUCAAAUUAAACUAGACUAAAAAGACAUUCAAUUAUGCAAAAUCUGUCCAUAAAAGUCUGAAAGGAUCAUUAAAAUUGCAUUGCAAAUUUAACAGUAAACCGAGGGACCCAUUCUAAAUAAUUCAGAUGAAAUUGUGAAACAAGACAUGGGAUUAAAUAAAUGAAAUAAAAAUUAAUUACCAGUUGAGACUUUCUUCUAAAAAUUCGCAACUCCAAGUCAUAAGAAGCCUAUGAAAUUAGUCGUACUGCGUAGAGUAUGACGACGACACCGCCAACAGCUGAAAGUAAAAUUCUUAUUCAUCAAUUUAAACUUACUUUAUAACAAAUAUCUUAUCUAUAUUGUAUUUAAGAAAGCAAAUUUUGUAAAAAUUUAUCAUGGGAGAUAGAGAGUAAUAUGUAUAUACGUACCUUCUCAGCAUGUAAUUGUUGUAUGGUUGUGUUUAGAUCAUUAUUAGCCCAGCGCCGUUGAUCCGCUGUCUCUCCAUAGCAGACGUUUACUCUUAGAGGCGUGAUUGAUUCUCCUGUAGUGAAAAUCUUCAUCUUGGGACAACCAAUCACAUCCAGAUAUUCCAAAGAUGGGAAUUUGAAGGUGUAAUUGGCAGAACAGAAACUUGUGAGGCUAUCUAAAUCAAACAGUCCCAACGUCUUCAAUUUGCUAAAAACAAUCUCUUCUUUUUCAACUCCAUCUUUGUCAUUUAUUACCACCUCUGUCAUUGCUCUGCAUCCAUAUAUUUCUAUUGCUAUGAGUCGCACCAGAGUUUUUGCUGUGGAGGAUGUUACCAAGUGUAUCAAUUCCUUGCAACCGAAAGCUACAAGUUUUGUUAGGUUCCCAAAAGAUACCGAUGAUGAUGGCAAUAGAAUUAACAGACUUUGACAAUGAUAUACUUUUAGAAUUUCAAGAUACUGAAAAAUGGGGCCAAGUUUGGAGUCUUGCUUGCACAGCUGCUCCAGAUGAUAGUGCCAGCGCAGCUGUAAUUCUUUUAUCAUUGCCAACUUCCCCACAUGUUUCUCUAAGCAUCCUUCCAUCGAAAAUACCUCUUCGUGGGAUGAAAAAAACAACAGUGUGAGUAUUUCGAGAUUGUGAAAUCUCUCCAGUACGUUCCAGAUUGUAAAACCAGCUGAGUCAUCUGCAGCAAUCUCUAGUUCUCUAAGACUGCCAAAAAGGUGUUGUGGGAAAUCGGCCUGCAAAAUCAUCUUCACAUCUUUUCCACUUAGUGAUAGUUCCUUCAAGUUGGGUACGAUCUGAUCAUCAUCAAUCAUAAUAACUAAUGAGGUCAAUUGAUGAUCUACGGUCACACGCAGUGACUUUAUAGUAUUUGUUUUAUAUUAUA
rnacentral:lncRNA from 1 species